rnacentral:lncRNA from 1 species
GAUUUGAAAGAGAAAUAUGUUAACCUAUCUGAAAUACAAUCAAUAUUUUCGUGAUUGAAUUUGUUUUUAGACCACGUUUUGGUAGACAACUUCAUCUUCAUGCACACCAAGUAUUGCCGAAGAAACUUAGGUGGUCCAGUUUCUCGAAUGAAUCAUAUAUAUAUAUAUAUAGAAACUUCAUUCUUAAAUCGUACAACUGUAAAAACAAGAAAAUAAAUAACAUCGAAGAGAGCUGGUCCUCAUCAUUAAAUUUUAUUUUCUUUUAUGUAAUGAUAAUAAUAAGAUAUAACUACCUGUACAUAGCCCUUUUUUCAAAAAAAAAAAAAAAAAAAAAAAACCUGAAAAAANNNNNNNNNNNNNNNNNNAAUGCCCCUUUUUUAAAAAAAAAAAAAAAAAAAAAACUACCUGUACACAUAAGUGCGCGAAAAAUGAGAACAUGAGAAAAGAAUGAUGAUGAGAGGGUAUGGGGAGAUUUGUACCACACUGCACACACUUUUGAAGUGCACGUUUGUGUGGUGUUGCUGGCCUUCACCAAACUCUGUUUCAACUUUCAACCUAACCUAAACCUUAUAAAUCGGUUAUCACGUCAUUAACCAACUGUUUAGGUUUUGUAACUGAAUCACUUGACGGUAUCUUGUCUCCCAUCUAUACCAAGUUACCAACUGAACCGGUUCUUUUGAGCGGAGGGUGGUCUGUUUGGGUUUCAAAUUUUUGAAAUAAAACUGAGUGAGUGAUAAAGCCCAGCCCAUCCAACUAAUUUAAUAUUCUUAAUAAAUGUCUAUAACAGGCCUUAUUGUUUCGGCCUAUUUACCAAAGUUGGAACUCCAUGGAGCUUCAAAUACUUUUACCGAGGGUGUUUACAGGGAAAAGAUAAUAUGUUACAGUUUAGUCAAAACAACCAAAUAGUUACCAUCUAUAAGGUUUUUUAUUCACAAACUAAAGUUAUGUUAUGUAUGGGAGGCAGGGGUACGUAACUCAGUUAAACCGCACUCGAUCUUACGAUUUUCAUGCGGUUCAAUAUUCUUGAUUGAUGUCUUUCGUGUGUAUUACAAAAAGAUGAAAAGCAUGUUAAAAGUGAACCGAGAUCAAGUCACCUGAGCUAAUAAAAUUAGUUUUAUCUUUUGUUUAUAUGUACCCAAAAAUCAUAUUUAAACACUCUAAAUAUAGAGAAGUUGGAUAGAAUAUACGUGAAGAACUCGGCCACAUCCUAGCUAGUGAAAACAGUUUGAGCUAAGCUACGUGCCAUUGGCAUUCAAAUUUACUUAAAAAACAUUUCUCAGAAGUUCAAAAAGAUAUCCAUUCGAACUUAACACAAUCUUGAUAUAUCUGAAAUUUUGGGGGCUUGAAACAAUUUUUUAAGAAUUUUCAUAAUUUGUUUUAAUUUUAGAGAUUUAUGUCCAUGUAAAAGACCUCCAAUUUUUUUUGGGACCAAACCAAUGAUGUUUCAGAGGCAUACAUGUCUUGAUAUGUAUUUAUUCCCAUAUGUCACCUUCACGAAUGACAGCUAAACCAAUUCCUAAUUAAUUCUAAAACUAUAUUGAUCACCCUGCUGUGGUCACAUAUACUACAUAGCGAUAUCGAUCUAAAGCCAGGCUACUUUUCGAUCGAUAGGUCCUCUGAAAGAAAUCCAAAAACUAAUAGAGAAAUCAAUCGAUAUGUAUAACUGACAACCAUUUCCUCAAUUGGCAACCAAUGUGACAUAUCUUACCUUCCUCUUUUCCUCACUCUUUGAUUUUCCCCUCAAAAAAUUUCUGACUUACAAGAACAAGUUGGUAUAUAAAAGACAUGGAACCAGGGGAAGCGUGCCUUUUCUUUUUUUUGAAUAAUUUGUUAAAUUUAUUUUUUAAAAAAAGCUUUGGUACAGCAUGUGUAACUUGACUUGUUUAACUGAACCUUGUAUCUAAAAGAUAACCUUACACCCGACAUAAAAAUUUAAAUUUAUGCUUGUGAAGCAAACCAUCGCUGCAAAAGAGCUCCAUGCUUUUGACUCCCCAUUGCUGAGAUAGACAGGCAAUUGUUCUUGACUUGGCGGUAAAUAAACCGGACCAGGAAUGCAACUGGCACCGGUACUGAACCAUGGCGUGGCUCGUUCCUUUCUCUCCAGAGAGAAUGCAGGGCUAUUUGAAAGGCAUACCGCAGCAGAAACCGGGCUUGGAAGCAUACCUAUUUUCUGUAUGACUUUUCACAGUUUUGGGCGGUUACUUCACUUAUUCGUUUAUUUCCUUUUUAACAUCAUAACCAGUAUAUAUAUAUUGGGCUAUAAGUAUUCGUGUGUUAAUGAGAGUCUAUUAGUCUAUAAUGAUUAUAGAGUUUGGUAUGUGUAAAUGUGUUACUCGUUUAACCGUUUGAUAAACUUAGAAAAAGUGAGAGACGUGUAUAGAGUUACGCGAUAAAAUUCCUCUACAGUAUUUAGCCUCACAAGAUCGACCGAAUAUAUAUAAAAUUAGUAGCUCAGAUGGUAACUUCCUUCUGAUGAACCCACAGAAUUGGGUUCGCUCCACCAUUGAACCCUCUGUAACAUUUAAUUUUAUCAAAAAAAAAAAAAAAAAAAACUCNNNNNNNNNNNNNNNNNNNNNNNNNNAUUUAAUUUUAAAAAAAAAAAAAAAAAAAAAGAUCGACCCAAUAUAUUCGCUUGUGUUUAUCUUAGUCAUUUUCUUUUAAUGCAACUUAGCUUCGUUAUUUCAAAAUCGAAGUCCACCAUCAGGCUAAACAAUACGAUUUCUUAAGUGUGCCGCCAUAUAAAAGCCUUAUCUAUUAAACAUGUUGAAAAACGAGCGAACCUUUUAUUAAUUUUAAUGAUCAGAAAUUCUUAAUGAUAUUCUAACAUUUUGAGUUUCAAUAUUUGGUUUAACUUGAUGAGAAACAAUAUGAAUACAUUAUACAUUACUAUCCAACUGUAUUUAGUUCAACUACUUAGAAGAGGAUUUGUUAAAUAUAUAAAAAUUAAAAGAAUAAGACUACACAGAAGUACAUGACGUAAGAGACAGAAGGGCAACCAAGUUGAUUUGGUCCAGUGGUAUAGGAGUUCCAAUUGGAGUGUCCGCCCCUGGGUUCGAGCCUUGGCCACUGCGAAAUUUAUAUGUGGGCUGCAGCACCCGAGACCGAAGACCGUUAUACGGUGAACCACAUGGUGACGUCCUGGCAGCGUCCAUGCUCACUUCGGUCUCUAGUCUGGACCACUUUGGUGGAGCCAGGAUACUCGGUUAGCAAAAAAAAAAAAAAAAAAAGAGACAUAAGGGCCGCUGGUUUCAGUUUUUUCUACACACAUACUGACAUACGUACCCACCGGAAAUAGCCCUAACUCGUAAUUUUUUUAAUCAAUUCUUUCAUUUUCAAAAUUUCAAAUCAAACUCUAUAAUGCAUGAACAUGAACUUGUAUGCAUGUUGGUCUAGUUGAAAUAAAUACAGCUGCAAGUAACCUUGGUAUUUUAAACUCCUUAGCAAAAAAAAAAAAAUUUAUAAAACUCUAUAAUGCGUAAACCAUCACCAUGUGUGAAGAUUCAAAUUUAACGAAAGUGGUCAACGAUCAUAAUUUUACUCGAAGCACUCCUAUAGCAUCUUAUUAUUCCCUAAACACCCAAUUCUUUAGUUUUCCAAAAUUUACAUUUAUUUAUUGAAUUAUUGUUAAAAAAGAGUUUGAAAAACAAGAAAGAAAAAAACAAUGAGCGUGAGGAAGGGUAUGGUGUAAAUUGAUCAGAAGGUAAGGGCAAUAUAGAAAAUUAAAAGUUCCGUGAUUGGAUCGGUGACUCCUAAUGGGUUUUUCUUCGCUGUCCUUCCAAAGAAUCUUCUUACCAUUUUUCUUGUCAAGAAAUUAAUUAAGUUCUGUCUAAUAAUAUUUUCUGUAGCUAUUUAUACGAAUCCACUAAAAACGUAUCUCAUAUAUAACUCCAACUAUAAAUUUUAGAUACAGACUUCAUGUCAUUCCAAGUGGCAGUACAGUGCUCGUACAUAUAGAAAAGGACAUGUGUAUUUUGUAAACUAUUCUCUUUCUUUAUAUAUAUAUAUAUGGGGGUGAUUUUUAAAGUAGAAAAAAUGUUAGAACAUAUGCCAGAUUUCGUAUACUUGUGGGGUUUAGGAUGGAGUUAGUGUUAUUUUCAUAAAUACAUAUAUAACAUUACUGUAAAUUUCAGAAAGUAUUAUGACAUUUUUGACUUUAUCACUUAAGUGUUGUAAAUUUCAGAAAGUUUUAUAUCAUUUUUAGAAGAGGGGAAUAGACCAUGGAGAGAGCACAUUAAUAAUCUCGACUACCUUUCAAACUUCUAGCACUAGUCUAGAGUUAUAGGAGUUCUUUUUCUUUUCCAAAUAGUCCAGAGACUAGGUUAAUAUCUGCACCUUGCGCGAAAUCAACAUUAUAUAUAUAAAUUAUUUUAUGUAUUAAAUAUUUUUACAUAUUAUAAAAUAAUAAAUAUAUAUUAAAUAAUUAAAAUCAGUAACUAUUAUAAAUAUAAUUAAAUUGGUGCGAACAUAUAAAUCAAUUGUAUUAAUCCAAUUUUUAUUUUUUAUUUGAUAGGAUAUGUUAUUAAAUUUAAAUGAUACUAACAUAGAUAAUAUAUUUUAGUAUAUUUUUAAUAUUAAUGUCUAUUAAAUGAUGAUUUCUACUUAUAUAGUUUUUUAUCAUUUGUAUCUUUUAUAGAAAAAAAUUUAAAUGACUGAUAACAAAAAUUUUCAUUGUGGGAUUAAUAGUUUUAGUAAUUUAUAAUUUAAAAAAAAAAUAAGUUGUCAAUGAUCGUUCAAAACUUUUAUCAAAAAAAUUGUUCAAAGUAAAUUUUGAAACUAAAAUAUUAUAUUUUAUAUAGUUUAUAGUUUAAUUUAAAACGAUAUAUAUUAAUCUUAUUAAUUAAUUAAAUUAGAUUUUUUACUUAUAUAAUUUUGUAAUCAUUUGUAUUUUGUCAUAACAAAAAUUUUAAACCAUGGAUCAUAAAAUUUGAAUGUGAGACUUUUUAAUAGUUUUAGUAAUUUAUAGCCGUUUGUAAAAAUUCAAAAUAUAACAUAUACAUAAAAAUCUAAAUUUUUAUUAUAUGGUUAUCGUGGUUGUUUAAUUUAUUUAAUAGCUUAAAAUUAAACAAAUAUGAUAGAAGAUACACUAUUUUUUAUCAAAUCUUUAUUAUUCAAAAUCAUUAAUUGUCAUAUAUAUUUUAGCCAUAUUAGGCAAUUCCGUAAAUUUUAUUUAAAGAAUUAAUAAAGUACAUUAAUGAUGAAUUUAUUGUUAGUUUAAUAAAAAACUUAUUAUAUAAUUAGAUGGACCAACAUAUUUCUCUAAUGAUUCUAAGAAUCAUUCUAGUGAUGACAUGUGGCUACAAAAAGAAGUUGUAAUGAUUUUCAAAUAAUAUAUAGGGGAUUCUAUGAACAAUAUAAAAUACACAAUUUCCGCGAGAAAUCAUUCCAAUAAAUGCGAAUGAUUAUGUGUACCGGAGACUGUACUUUUUACUGUGUGGAAAAAAUGAAGACAAAAAAAGAAGUUGAACACAGUCAGGCGAAUCAGAAAAUGGGCUAAUAGUCUUUCUUUCACAUGGCCUUGGUCGGAUACACUUUUCACUCAUAAAAUACAUUUUAUCGUUGUUAACUUUUUCUAUUGGAACACACUAAAUUUUCCUGCAAAAUAAUGGUUAUAUUAAUACUUUUAAUCCAUAAAAAAUAUACUCGUAGUUAAACGUUAUAACAAACAACCCCCUAGUAGUUUGUAUUUUAUGGAAGGGUCGAAGAUUGUACUUUGUUACAAAAGUUUUGAUAAAUUUUAAAGAAAUAGUGAUAUUUGAAAGUACUUAGCACAACUAUCUAUUCCAAAACUUAUGGAAAAAUAACAGAGAAAGGUGUUGAUAUUCAAAUCAAAAGCCCUUUGAAAUCAACUCACUUUCUCUCUUUCCCAUCAGACCAAACGUUCAUCUGUCUUAUUUACAUUUACAGUCUUGAACUUGGCUUCGAACCCAGGAUGACUCGGUGGAAUGAUUCACGCACUUUCUAACCGCCGUCUCUUUCACUACUCAGUGAGUAACUGGCCACCCGAUUCAAACUCACCAAUAUAAUUAUAUAUUUAAUAGUAUAAAAUAAAAAAGUGACCCAGAGGCGAUUAAAAUUAAAACUCAGCCUAGUCAAUGACGAUUUAUUCAAAAUUUUGAUUUCUUCACCGUCGAUCUUAAAAGAAUCACCAGACGGCUUUAUCGACGACCCCGUGAAGCAACGGUCGAGAUUCGAUCAAAAGAUCAAGCUUGCUUGUGACCCCUCCGUGGCAUUUCUGGAGAUCUUCGGGACAAGUACACCGGUUCGACCGGGAAAUAAACCGGAUAGCUUCCUCGAAAACCGAUUCUUCACAGGGGAUAACCAGCGGCCCCUGGUUAACGAAACCGUACUCCUCCUCAGCUUGGACAAGUAGAUUACUCAGGAUCGGAUGGUUCAGGUACGACGCGCGCACCACGAAUCUCCUGCAGCCACUUCCCACGCAUACCGCCACGUGUCCAGAUGGAACAUCCGACGGCACAGAACGGCUGACUGAAGAUAAACGUGCUUUGUUUCGCCAUCGCCUGAGCAUUUGCCUGAGCCUCACAAUGUGGCGGAUCUUGCUGCAUUUUCCGACACCUUCGGCCAUUGUUGUCUCUUUCUUCUCUGUUUAGUUGGAAAAGACUGAAUCUUGAGCUGCUGUUUUUCUUUCUUCUUCUCACGAGAAAGCAGGUGGGAGGGAUUUGAGCAUUUGGGAGAGGCGAAGUUUAAAUAGUGAAGGGAAUACAAAAAUGCUACCAGGUUUUUGAGAUAAUUACGGAACUGUCUUCUCUGUCUUUUCGAAUUAGUGAUUAUAUUUUGAUUAGGGUUAUGUAUUUAUUAUUGUUAAUUAGUAUUAUGGUUCAUAUUAAAAGUCUUUGUUUUUUGAUAAUUGUGUUGAUGGACCGAUUAUGGGGAUAAAUACUUGGCCCUUAGUUAAUUUACAUCAGGAUAAGAUUCGUAUUUUGAUGUAUCUAUCACUUUUUUGAUUAUACAGUAAUCAUGAAAAGACAUUUAACUUUGUUGGCAAAAAAAAACAAAAGGCACUAACUCUGUUGACCAAAAGACAAUUUAAUUUUGAAUAAUCAUUCAUAAAAAUGUUGCCAGGAUAAAAUUAAUUAAAUUCUAUUUUUUUAAGGUUUUAAGUAACUUUUAAAAGUUGAUGUUGAGACCAAAAAAAAAAAGUUUUGUUUCAGACGAAAUUUUGAAAGUAAAAACCAACCACAUGGAUAGCAGCCUCCAGGAAAUUAUUAAGAUUGUUAAUUUAUGUUUAUGAUAAGCGAAACACAUUAUAUAACUGUAUUAACUUCUCUCUUUCACGAGAGUGAGAAGUGCUCCGGCCGACAAGUGGGCUUUCACAGCCACCGUCGGUCCUGUUUCUCUUCUAUUUUUUUUAUGUGCUUGCCUUUGUGUGUGGGAGAGGGAUUUUGAUCACGGCUCUCAUGAUAAGUCUUUGACUCUGGGAUGUUUUGAGGCUCAUAUAGCUCUAUCGUCGCCGGCAUAUGAUUUCGGGGGCGGAGAUUAUCUAAACUCUGCGUCGCCGGCUCUAUAGUGCAUGAGGUUUGGUUGAUGUGUUCAGGGUUACCUUCUGGGUGUGAACUGUUUCGGAUGAGAUCUCAACAUUUGUUGAUUGAUGCUCUCCGUUGAUGAAGUGAAGGGAUGAAGAUGAACACGGGUUUGGUUAUGGAUCUCGUAAUCUUGUGAUUGGUGGCGUUGUGGCUUUAGCUGAAAUAUCGACAAGGUUCGAUGAAGCUCUCCGUGGAAAGGAGGCCUGCCGCUGAGGAUGCAUGUGAUGUUGCAGAAGAUUUCCGGUGUGGUUCCGGUGAAGCGCCGCUUUGGUUUCCGGCGUUGGGGAAGGUGAUAGGGUUUGGCGACACGUGUUCUUCUCGCUGUUGAGGAGUCAACACGUGUUUUUGACUUGUGUGUUUUGGUUGGGCACUUGGACUUUUGGUGUUCUCGGUUUUCUUUUGGGCUCGAUUUUUAGUUUUUGGUGUAAUGUUGUAUUGGGUUUUGUACUUUGAUCUUGGUUAUUAUAAAAUUAUCAUUAGAUGGCCAAAAAAAAAAAGUAUUAGCUUCUCUCUCACCACUAGCGGUUAAAUGAUAACCGAAGAUGCUUCUUUCUGUAUCCCCAAACAACUUAAUUUUAUUUUCCAGAAAUAACAUAAAUUGAAUUAAUAUAUUACGACGUACCAAGGCACUAAUUUUUUUUUUGUAGCUUGUAAUGUGUCAAUGUCUCCAUGUGCGGCGAUGCCCAUCUCGAUAUUUUUGUAUCUUGCUUUUCAAAAAUAUUCCCACAACAAGCAGCCAAACCAAUUAUGCAAAAACUAAUUAUCUAUUCUACUAAACCAAGAACACGACUUAUUGAUAUAUAUAUAUAUAUAUAUGAUCCAACUAUUUUAAUAUAAUUACUUAAAAAAAAUAUUAAUUAUUUAAGAAAAUAUUAUACAAAGAAAAACACAAAUAUGACUAAAAAAUACAAUUAUCUAUUCUAUUAAAACAUCUAUUGAUAUAUGUGUGAUCCAACUAUUUUAAUCUAUUAUAUUAAAACAUAAACAUAACAUAUUGAUACAUGGAGAAUCGCCACAAAUACCACAAUCAUAGUACCACUUUUCAUGUUUACAUUAAUCACUUUUACCCUCACUUUUAAUGAAAGGUAAAAGACACUUAUACUCAUAAAGUUAACUAAUCUAGACUUAGGGUUUAGAGUUAAGGGGUGUGAUAGGGUUUUUGGAAUGUGAAAUUUAGGAUUCUAUUAAAUAUAUAAAUAAAUACUUUAAAAAUAUAUAAAAAAUUUUAAAAAAUAGUUUCAAACAUAAUUUUCGAUGUUCAAAAAGAAAAUUUGAAAAAAAAAUUUAAAAACAAAACUAUAAAAAGUUCGAAUUUGAAAAAUAAUAAUUUGAAAACAUUAAUAUAUAUAUAUUUUUUUAUUUAUUUAAAUAAUAAUUUAUUAUAUAUAAAGAUAACAAGGGUAUAAGAGUCUUUUGUUACUUAAUGAAGAAGAUAUUUUUGAAAAUGUCCCUUUAGUGGUGGUAAAGAUGAAAAGUGUUACUAAGAAAGUGGUAAAAAUAAAAUUUUCCUUUGAUAUAGUUGUAAUUCAACUAUUUUAAUACAAUUAUUAAAACAUUUUAUUAAUCAUUUAAGAGAAAUAUUAUACAAAGAAAAACAUAAAUAUGAUUAGAAAUACAAUUAUCUAUUCUAUUAAAACAUGAACAUGACCUAUUGAUAUAGGUGUGGUUCAACUAUUUUAAUACAAUUAUUAAAACCUCUUAUUAAUUAUUUAAGAAAAAUAUUAUACAAAGAAAAACAUAAAUAUGACUAAAAAAUAAAUUUCUAAAAAAAUAUACAACAAAAAUUAUACCCGCUAUUUUAAGGAUGAGUCAAAAUAUAGUUAUAUCUGAAAUUUUAAAAUGAAUCAUGAAAUAUUGAAAUCCAUAGUAUGCACAUGAUACUCUCGGUCAAAUAUGAUGUGCCUAAGCUCUUCGAAUUCGUUAAAAUCAAUAAAAUCUAUGAUUGACAUCGUUAUAUUCACUACAUAGAAAUUAAAAUCAAAACACGCAGACGCUACGAUCUUAUCGAAUUACUUGAAUAUACAUGUUCGUAUAUUAUGGUAAAUAUCUGCAACAAAUAAUAAUGCGUUGCAACUAUAAUGGUAAGUACGAGUAGAAAUAAAACAUAAAAAAAUAUUUAACAUAAAAAAAAAAAUAUAUAUAUAUAUAUAUAUAUUUAUUUAUUUAUUUAACAUAAAUGUACGUGGGUUAACCAAGUGAUAUGGGAGGGUAGGGUGCCAUCCCCUCCUCAUGCGGUACGCACGUACCCCACUUGUUGGAUUUAAGGAUCUUCCAGUCUCUUUUCAAUUUUCCUUCUUAUAACCAAAUCUUAUUUGCCUCUGCAUACUUCAUUAUUGCAAUAAUAAUUGCAUGACCAUCCAUCUAAAUGCCAUGCAUCGGCAUUGUAGUGUCUCCUUCUGCCCUCAUCCACUAUAUUCCACAUAUGUCUACAACUGUACAUAUAUGCAAUAUAUAACAGCUUAUCACUAUUUAAAAACUAUCGCCUUAAUUAAGUAUCCUAAAUUAUUUUCAUUAUAAGCCGGUGAUUAGCUAUAAUAAGCAGAGGGGGGAUGAACCUAAUUGAAAAUCUUAGUCUUCUUUUAUCUUCCAAGCUAGAAAAUAACUAAUCAUAGCUUUCACGGACCAUAGAAAUAAAAGUGAGGUCGCUAUCUCACCCUCUAAAAAUAUAACAAAAUAAAAAGUUUGUAAAAAAUUAGUAUGAUAUAAAGUGUAACACAUAGAACUAAUAAGUUCAAGUACGUAAGAAAAAAUGACUUUCAGUUAACAGUUUGCAGCUAUGUACUUUAUUAAACCUUAAUGUCUAUUUAAUUUAGGAUUAAAAGCGAGAAUAAAAGAGAAAUCAUUAAUUAAUUAGUACUACUAAUUAAGUGGUCGUGUGUUUGGUCAUAGCUGGCACAUGCCAUGUUUAUGUUGGUAAAAAGCAUUAAGAGACAUACUAUCACUAAGGCACUAAUCAGGAUAAUGCUUUGUAUUUAGCAGAUAUCUUUCCGGCGUCUUCUGACAACUUCUAAGGUUUCACCACGUCUUGACCCCCUCCCUUAGAUAUUUGUUUGAAAAAUAAGAAAUUGUGUUUUGUUGGUUAUUUUAUCAGUUUGCGUAACACUAGAUUUGAUUACAUCACGGAUUCACGGGGUAGAAUGGCAACAAAACAGGCCAAAAGUUAAAAGGUCAUUUUAUUCUGUAACAGAAGGAAAUGAGAAAAAAAAAGAAGAAGAAGGAAAUGAGAUAGCAGAGAACACAGCCUUGCAAAGCUAUUAUACAAAUAAGGAUUGUUUUUUCAUAGCGAAGACAUUUUCUAAUAUAUACUUUAUAACCAAGAAAUUAUUUCCCACUAGAAUCAGCCAUUUUAAAUAUAAUGUAAUACUCCGUCCAUUUCAAAAUGAUAAAUGUUUUAGAAAAAUUUUUUUUUAUAAAAAAUAUAUAUUUUACAUUUUCAAUGCAUGUAAUAAUGAUAAAUUGUAAACUUUAAAAACAUUAAUUGUGUUUACUGUACUUUGAUUGGUUAAAAAUUAUAGAAAAUAACUAAUCACGAAAAAUAAUAUAUUUAUAAUCAAAAGUAUACGUGUUUUUUUAAUAUGUGUGAAAACUCCAAAACAUAAAUUAUAUUGAAAGAGAAAAUAAUGUAUUUAUAAUCAAAAAUUUACGUGUUUUUUUUAUAUGUGUGAAAGCUCCAAAACAUACAUUAUAUUGAAUCGGAGGGAGUAACCGUUAAAUUUCCUCUAUUAUUCAGCAAAAAUGUUAAGAUUUACUUGUAAGUUAUUGAUUAAAGGUGGGUAUAUAUCGGAUAUCCGGAAAUUGAUAUGACAAAGAUAUAAACAUAAUGUUAAUAAAGAAAAGGAAAUAAUAAAAGCAGAAGAUAACAGCCUUGCAUUGCAAUUAUACAAAUAAAGUUUUAUAGAAUUGAUUGUAGGAGUGGAGGAAUAAAGUAGGCCCUGACGUAUGUGAUUUCAAAUGUUAUCCGGAAAUGAUUAGUGGUUUUGAUUAAGUCGUGAAGUACGUCAAUGGCAAGCCAGUUCAGAGACCAGCUCAUGAAAAUUUAGUGUAUGAAAAGUGAAAACUAAUAUAAAUUGUAGAAGGCUUCAUUUGAAUCUGAUUGCAACAAUUUAAUAAUAAUCAGGCCUCCAAUUAUCCUUAACUUUAGCAUUUUAAAAGACAUUAUAUGAUUUAUAUAUGAUCACCUGGUCAAUUAUUUUUUAUAAGAGACAAAAUAAUUUAGAAUAAAAAGGAUGACUGAGUAGAAAAUGUAACAAUUGAAUAAAAAGAAAUUAUCGUACAAAUACGCAAUACAAAGAAAUCUCUUCCCAGCAUUACUUUAAACAACAUUAAGCGAUACAUAAAAGUUGAAAUAGCUUUCUGCAUUAUGAGUUAACUUUAUUUUCAUGAUCAGCUGGCCCAAUACUUCAUUAUAAAGGGAUUUGCAAAAAUGUUCAUAGUUAGUUGAAUGUAAUAUAUUCAUAUAUACAUAAAUUUAAAUCAUAUUAUAUGUGUACUAAUCAAUUCGUGUAAUUAGUUAAAUCAGGUUUACUUAAAAAUUCCCAUUGUGAUAUAAGACAAACCAUGGCACGGAUCAAGAUGAAUUCCGGGAAGACUUGCUGCUUUCAAUUUACUUUCAUGAUACCUCUUUAACUAACUAAAAUACACUUCUAACUCCAAGCAUCACAUGCUAAUGAAUAACAAAGAGGAGGAAAAGAAGAAGGUGAUGAGUUCCAAGAAACGAGAAAAAAUGUGAGUGCCCAUACGAAGCAUAGUAUUAAGACUUCUUUCCGACUUUAUCUAGCUGCAAACUCUGCCCUCAAUUAUACACUUUUCAUAUUUAUUUUUUUAAAGUUGUAACAUCGUGAUCAUUUGAAAACAGUUAUUUGUUUUUGUUAGUGGACGAAUAUGACUGGAUCUUAUAUGAUUGGAAUUCUAAAAUUGAAUUACACCGAUAUUUCAUGAAACCAUAAACAGUUGUAUAGUUGUGUCCACACUGUAGGGUUUACCGUACCCAUUUUAUGAUUUUAUAAGAGACAAUAAGCUAAAUAUACAUAGUGGAGAUCUAUAUUGGCUAAUUAUACAUUGAUUGAUCUUAAUGGUUUGUGUCGUGUCCACUGUGGUUUGUGCCGACGAUUAUACCCUUGCGUCAUGAUGAAAAAAAGUAUUAUGUCCUGCAGAGAGUAGAAAAACUCUUUUAACAUUAUUUUUCUUCCUGUAAUUCUGACACACUUUCUCCCUUUACAAUUCAUUUAUUCUCUCUUUUCAAGUUCUCUUUCUUCUUGCCUCCAUUCAUUUUCUUUUGUCUGAUACAUUUUUUUUUCUUCAUCUCUUUCAUUUUUUUUCUCACUAUUUUCGUUUCUUUUCUCUUAUCCCCCAUCCUUUUUCUUCUUUCGAUUCUCUUUGUUUUUUUUUUCGUUUCUUAUUCUCUUUCUCUUUAAAUAUCUUCAUUGGUUCUUCAUUUAGAUGCUAAUUUUCUGAAGCUACGGCAAAAUUCAAAAAUGAUCUAACACCAAAUUUAGAUAAAACAUUUCAUGAUAGUGAUUCCAUUUUGAACGUUAGUAUUCUCUUAUGUAUGUAUUUCUAGUAAAUCAUAAUUAGAACACAUGUAUUACCAUAUAUUUAUAGAAAUAUGAUAAAGGUAAAAAACGUUAACACUAUAUACUAUAGAGAUGUUAAGAUACUUAUUUGAUUAGCAAAUUAAGUGUUAUAUGCGGCGCUUUAAACAAAAUAAUAACAUAAUAAUAAUAUUUAUAAUUUAGUAUUAAUUAUUAAUCUAAUACAUUAUUCAUCAUGUAAUAAUUAAGUUAGUUACUAAAAUUUAAAUUAACGAGUAAAACAACAAAGUUAGCAUGCAAUAAUCGAUAUUGUAGGUUGUUAAUAGUUGAUGUAUCAUUUAAAAAAAAAAAGUAGCUAUUAACAUAGGUAUUAGUUAUUACUUAUGAUGUAGCACACAUAAUAAACAUACAUGCAAUUUUGUUUUUGACUGCUAUUGUCAAUGUUUACCAAGCGACAAGGGAGUUAGCUGAUACAUCAAAAAUCUUUCUUUGAUUUGUUAGAUAAUAACUAGGAAGGAGAAGAAGAAAAAUGGGACAGCUUGUGCCUCUGAUGGUUGGUGAAUGAGAGAUGGUUCAUCAACGGUCAUUGAGAUUCUAAGUCGACCAUACAAAGGUUAAGUACGAUUUGGUGCUAAGGGAGAGGUUAGAUAAAAUUUUAAAUAAGUAAUCUCGUGAAAAAUAUGUAGUUAACAUGAGUUAAUUAAAUGUUUGACUGUAUUAGGCAUGAGGGAUCAUGGUUGAGUGCAUGAUAGCGAUGAGGUUCUUAUGGACGUAUGCACCGCGGAAAAGACUGAGUAAAUACAGAGAACACAUGUUUCUUUAACAAGAGUUGAGAUAAACCCACCUAUGAGUGUAGACGGAGGCACAUAGUCAUCUACCAACUCAAGGAUACUUUCUAUGGGUGAAUUCAUGGUAAUGUAAUCUUGUUGUUAACGGUAAUAAACACAUGUGACGACUAAGUAUGAAUGUAACUAUUAACUGUUUUUUAUAUCUGAAGUUAGCUGUUUUAUAUCUAAAGUUAUAUACAAACCAUGUAUCAUUCAAAGACAAAUCUUUGUAAUAUAUUACCAACCAUUUAUCACUAGUUUGGUAUCAAAUUAUGCAUCAGCUAACAAAACAUGUAUCGGGUAACAAAUAAUUUAUCAACUACUAAACAAUUUAUCAAACAAUGUAUUAACUAACAUCCGACAUAUCAACCUAUUUAUCUGCUAAUAAACCAUGUACGAAAACAAGCUAUAAGUUGACAAAUUAUUUAUUAAAUUAUUUAUCAGUUAACAAACAAUGUAUCAAAUGAUAACAAGUAUUUUGUAAAACAAUUUAUUAAUUAGCGGUGUAUUAUUGUAACAGCUAACAAAUUAUGGAGGAGAGCUUCUUACUACUUUGACAGUGCUAUUGUCAUAACCGGUGCGGUAGUAAAUUCAAAACGAGUGACAGAAAAAGCGAUGCUUCGAUUUUUUUCUAAAGUCGUUUGAUUAAAACUAUAAAUUUAUGAUGAUAAAUACAAAAGAGAUAUUGAAGAAAGGUUGAGAGCAUCAUAAAAAUUGAAAAAUAAUUUCUCUCCCAAAAAUAUAAAGAAAGUUAUGGUUUGAGAUAAGGAAAGAUAAAAAAAUAUAAUUAAUGAUUAUAGUUUAGAUGUUUUUGGUUUCUCACCAACAAAAACUGUUGACACUUUCUAUUAUUUUUUAAAUAAUUAAUAAUUAAAUUCAGAACACUCCUCGAACAAAGAUUUUUGGUGCAACAAACAGUAAAACAACAGUAGGAUUUCAGGGGGUCUGACACAGCUGUUGAUAUGUUGGUAUGCAUGAGGAAAGGGUAAAAUUGACAUAGAAAUAUUUCUAUCAAAUCAUGUGCAUAGAUCUAAUUAAGGCCUCAAUUAGGGGCAUGCAAGCACAUUAACUCAUGUUAUAAGCAGUCUUGAAUUUUAAUUAUUUUCCUAAAUGCUUAAGAACACUCGUGGCUUAUUUGAGUUCCAAAGCAUUUUUGUGUGUUUUUGUUUGAUUUAUUUUAAUUUGUGGUUUGGUUCAUUUGACAUGUAAGCUGUCUUCUCGACAUAUUUACGAACUCGUGAAUAUCUCGUUUUCUGUAUUUAGGGCAUGAAUGGUGACCAGAGAAUGACGAGAAAUAUUUCAUUUUCUAACGUUUCUAAAAAUCUUACCAUUUAUAAAAAGAUAAUUUGUCAUUUCCAUUCAUUUUGCUGCAGAGGAAUAUAGAACAAUAUUAUUCUUUAUUAAAUAUGAUAAGGAAUAAACAUACCUAGGGUUAUUUUAGUUGUGAAUUUUGCGUUUUGAGUUGUUUUUCAAGUUUUUUUUAUUGUUAUAGGGUUAGAGUUGUGAUGAUGAACUGUGUAUGCAUUGUUCUCCACUUAUGAAUGACUAAAUUGUGUUACUAAUGUGAUUGAUAUAGCUCGUGUUGUUGUUUGCUGUGUCACUGAGACUUAUUGUUUGUUUGUCUUUUUAAUUUGUUUCUUGUACUGUUUAGAGUACAUAAAUUAUAUUAAAGUUGUUGAGAGUACCUUUUGUUUCUAGAUAUUUUUCUCCAGUUUAGUUGUGUAAGUUGUGUGUAUUAAGUAAUAAUUUUUAUUAUCCUUAUUAUGUUUGCUAUAUGUUUUUAUUUUAUUUUAAAACAUGUUGCUCUUACCGGACCUUUAAAACAAAUACAUGAAGACUUGUAGAAAUAACUAUAAAAUGAGUGGCAGUUCUGAGUAUUUGGGAUUUAAUGAGUUUUAAACGAAUUUAUGUAUUUCUCAUAAGAAGACAAUAGCAUUGGCAUGUUGACAUUGGACAUGUAAGCUAUUUUUAUAAGACAAGAGGAGUGAGCAGGUGGAGAUGUUGUUGUCGCCUUUGUAUCUGUCGGGAUUGUCUCUUGUAUCUGAUGUUGUGGUUGUGUUUGUUUAUCUUUUAUUUGAUGGGUAAUAUGUAAACAAAAAUCAUUGUUAGUUGUAUUUAUCAGAGUUCAUAACUUACUCUAUUUUUUUUUAGGUAUUUCACUGAUCUUGGUUGUUUUCGUCUUCUUCGUUGCGAAAGUAAGUUUGUAAAUUGUUAAAUAGCUGGCCGUGUAGUUUGUAUUUGUUUAGCUGACUCGAUGUAUGUGUCGUUGCUAAAGUAAGUUUGUAAAUUGUUAAAUAGCUAGCUGGCCGUGUAGUUUGUAUUUAUUAGCUGACUCAAUGUACGUUUCGUUGAAUUUUAGUUCAGGUGAUUGGUUUGGUAUAUUUGCUUUGAAGUUUAUUUGUAAGAUUAGACAAAAAAGAGAGGUGAUUAUUAGUGGUUCGUCUUUUUUUGGAUUCUAGUUUUUGGUGUUUUGAUUGUUUGAAGUUGUUGUGGUUUCUUUUAAGCUGUAAAAUAAAGGUUUAUGUGAAAUUAGUUUGAUAAGUAAGGGAGAUAAAUAGACAACAACAGAUCUUGGGUAGAAAAUAUUUUUGAUCAUUGAUGUUAGCACAAUAUAUACAAUAAUACAAAGAGAAUUGUGUGUUGAUUGUUUCUUGCGAUCAAUAAGGAGACGAAUCACGACUCGAGUUGUUUCUUUGGUGAGGUCAGAGCCCUGGAUAGAACGGAUUUGACCAACCACAUCUGCGAGUUUAAAUAUCAGUUAUGACAUCGAAACAUAAUAUAAACCCAGCUGCAAUAUGAUAUUAUACAUGGGAGUUCUGGGUUUGUGUUCAUAAUCACUUGGAGAUUGUCGAACAGUCUAAUCAUGACUGGAGAUUGAUCUCAGGAACACCUGUGAUGACUUCAUCAAUAAUGGUUGGUGGGAUGAAACGAAUGAGGAAUUGAUGAUCAGUUAUCUUGUAUAUGCUUGAGCACCUAGCAACCUCAAAACGAUCGACUUUCACAAUGGAACCAGCUUUCAAAGAUGGCAUGUAAUGAUUAGCACGUUCGGCGGAAAUGAACCCAUGAAUCAUGGAAUCCGCAAAUAAUAUUAUUCAACAAAUAAUCAAGAAAUCAAUUAAAAACAAUUAUGUUAAAUAAGUGUGAUAGAUCGAAGAUUGACUUACCUUUUCAUCAAGGAAGAGAACCGUGAUUCCCAUAAACUCACUGUCUUCCUUGAAGUUCAGGGAAUCCUAGAAGCGAAGGAGGCCAGCGACUAUGCUCUGACUGCUACGACCAAUACGGGAGACUGGAAAGUUGAGUGACAGACGCCGGGGACGCUGGUUUUAUGAACUGGGGAGGCAGAAAGAGACAUUUUCUAGAAGAUGGUUGAAGCUAAGAAGAAUCAAUGAGUUUUGUGGAGAUGCAGAUUGUGUUCAUCAAAGAUGAAAAUCAUAUAUAUAGGGUUUACAGAGGGGCUAAAAAUCAUGAACAUUUAAGAUCAAGUGAUUUAAGAUGGGGAGAUGAAGAGUUUACCAGUGAAAAAAUAGAUUACGAACAGACACACGGCGCAACUCUGUAACUCAGACAUGUCUGAGACAAUGAUGAAAAGAACCCUAACUCGUGUUAAACGAAGACAGUUUACAAUAUGGAAAAACUAUAAUUGUUGUUUUUUCAUAUAAUGUGAUGAACCUCAUUUAAAAAUGAAACUCAUAAUACACUUGUAGGCCCGACCCACAGAGAAAACCUAAGAAUCAAAGGUUUCCGACCUUCAUAAAUAUAUAUUAGUUUCGGUCAUCAAUGUACAAAGUAUCCUUUAGUUUAGUGGUAUAAAUGUUUGUGUUUAUAUCUCAAUAACCCGGGUUCGAGCCAUAAGCUUGACACUUUUUCACAAUUUUUAAAAGUGGGACCCACCAAAAUGCUGACGUAUCGCCUCAGAAAAGAGAGAACUGUACUAUUAUAUUAUAGAUUUUCCUAAAUGCUUAAAACACUCGUGGCUUAUUUGAGUUCCAAAGCGUUUUUGUGUUUUUUGUUUGAUUUAUUUUAAUUUGUGGUUUUGUUCAUGUGACAUGUAAGUUGUCUUCUCAACAUAUUUACGAACUCGUCAAUAUCUCGUUUUCUGUACGUAGGGCAUGAAUAGUGACCAAAGAGACGAGAAAUAAUUCAUUUUCUAAAGUUUCUAAAAAUCUUACCAUUUAUAAAAAAUAGUCUGUCAUUUCCAUUCCUUUUGCUGCAGAGAAAUAUAGAACAAUAUUAAUCUUUACUAAAUACGAUAAGGAAUAAACAUACCUAGUAAUUCCUAUAAACAAAAAUUCUAUUGGUUCUUUUUUUAUUUGUUCCUAAUUUUCACGUGAAAUGUGAUGGUUACCAGUUCAUUUACAAGUUUGAAUCUUGAACUAAACCUAAAAGUAUAGGUAUAGGUCAUUUUUUAUAUGUUUGGUUGAAUACAAAUGUCAUUUGGAGAUAGCAAACUACGACUGUUUAUUAUUUGUACGAAAGGUAACAUGAAGAAAACAAACUAAAAUUGUAAUCUAGAGAGAGGAGAGAGAUUUUUUCUCUCUUUUCAUCUCUCUUUCCUCCUCCAUCGCGUUAGGGUUCGGCCGUUCUUCUUUCUCGUUUUCGGUGGUCGGCGGUCGGUUUCUAACCGUCGACCACCCGUCUUUUUCGUUUGCUGUUCAGCUUCAGUCUCUCCCCUGCCUUCCUCUGCUUCCAUCAUCGCCUCUUUGCUGCUUCUGCUCUGGAUCUCUGAUUCGUCGGACCUAAACAGAAAGCUAAAGUGUUCUAGCAUUCUCUGGAGCGAGGGCGAGGCGCUGUAAAGUAGAUCCGAAUCAGGCCGCUUGUAUUUGCUUUUUGGGUUCGAGCCACUACCGACAGAUCUGGGUCAGAUCCGUCACCCCUUGCCGUGGAAGAGCGAAUCUUGAGCGUCGCUGCCUCUUCUCUGUUCUUUCCGUCUUGCCGUGUCAGUGCUCCUCCUCCAUUGAAGCGAGUCAAGUCUGUAGAGCCUCUCCUCGAAGACCUGGUUUCUUCAGAGCGCGGCGGAGCUGAGACACUCCGUUGAGGGCCUCUUCCUCAGUCAAGCUUACCUUCAACUUCCCAUGGCGCUUCCAGCUGCAGUUGUCUACUCCGAUUUGUGGGUGUGCUCGGGUUUGGGGACUUUCCCGUUCUGCCGCCUCCGUUUCAGAGGCUCUCAUCUGCUCUUUUGUUCCAUGCUUUGUGGACUUUCACGAGUCUGCCUGUGCUUCAAACGCCGGAAGGAGACUUUCGCUUUGUUAGUGUCUGCCUCUCCUACUCCUCUGCUCCGGGUAAUUUAUUGUGUGGAGUGGCCGGUUUUAGCCGUCAACCUACCGCCUACUCCAUCAGAAAGUGCUCGUCAUUGGCCAGGUGUAGUCUUUUGGGUUUGGAUAAUGACCUUCUGUGCCUAAAUCUCUGGACUGGGUUUUUGAUUGGAGCUAGUUCAUCGAUGCCAAUGGCCGGGGCCGGAAUUGUCAACCGCCUCCGCCUAUUGUGCUCUGAGCGACCCUUGAUCUUCUCCUUGUCUGCUGGUCCAUUUCGAUGUUGACCUACCGGCCUCUAUUCAAGUUGUUUAUGGUGACCUUGUUCCUUGGUUCUAGCUUCGGUUCUUGCAACUUUGCUAGACCAAAUAUGUUUCUAAGUGUUUUUUUACUUUUUUUGCAACAUUUAGGAACCAUCAAGCUUUAAUAGCAGAAUGGGAUCCAAGUUAAGCUUGUAUCAAACUUUCAUUUUCAUUAAUGAUAUUCACAUUCUUAGCAAAAAAAAAAAAAAAAAAAAAAAAAAAAAAAAAAAAAAAAAAAAAAAAAAAAAAAAAAAAAAAAAAAAAAAAAAAAAAAAAAAAAAAAAAAAAAAAAAAAAAAAAAAAAAAAAAAAAAAAAAAAAAAAAGAAAACAAACUAAUGAUUUGGCAUGAACAUGAAGGGGAUCUAUAAUCGGAAAGGCCGUUUGAUAUACUAGUAUUUAGAAAAUGAAGAGGUUUAAUAAUAGAACACUUUGAGCGACUUAAUCAUGAGAAUCUAAUCUCAUAACCAAAUCAAAAGUUACAGAUAUGUUUCUAACUUUUCUGGUAGGUACGUUGUGUUAGUAUGUUGUGCGCAUGAGAAGUCAAAGUUGUAUUGGAAUUUAGGAAUCAUUGAAUGUUGAAAUUUCUUUUGCCUUCUAUAUUCUUUUGCCAUUUGGCACCAACUAUAUUAACUAAUCGUUAUUCUCUCCCUGUUUUCUUCAACUUCUCCCAUAAUUCUGACAUGAUUGAAUAUAGAUCAUAUAGUAAACAUGAUACAAAGUUCAUAUGCCGAUUUUUCAUUGGAAGAUUGUUUCCGAUUGUCAGGCGGGCCUAUUACACUAGUUUCAUAUAUAUAUUGCACUACAAAUUAAGAUAAUUUUACAGUUUGUAGAGUUGCAUGUGGAUUCCACACCUUUUUUUUUUAAUAACUACGAAUAUCUCAAAAGUUUUUUAGGUUCAAAGAUUAAUCUGACGAGAUCAAUAGAAAUCUAAUUUUUUUUUUGUCAUUUAAAACGUCUAUGAAUGGCCAAUGCUACUCGAAUCCGGAGCAAAAACUUCAACCAGAGUCCUUUUUAUCACUAGGCCAAGACAACUUAUUUAAUUUCCACACCCUUAAACAGUCAUUACUCCAAAAUUUUAAAACAUUUGUCGACUAGUCUUACAAAUCAUCUUAAUAUUUUUCUUGUUUCAUCUUUACUCUCACACAGUAUUGAACAUAGUUUUUCAGGAUGUUACAUAUCCUUCAAUGAUCACGCUAAUCCUACAGUUUUAGAAAAAUUCCCCACAUAAUAUAUUGAAAUACACCACAAUUCAUCAAGCAGUCAGGCACUAUAUAUAAUUGAUUUUUUAGAUUUGAGAAAUGUUAGUUUUGCUUGUAGAGUACUCAAGUUUGCGAUGUGGAACAACCUUCACUGAAUCUCAAAUGAAAACGAAAGAUAAAUCAUCGUAAAAUAAAGAGAAGCGAUAUUAUUGAAGGCAAGAAAAAGAAGAGAACACCUACUUCCUCACUAACCAUAUAUUCGUAUUCCAUACCGUUAGUAGCAAAUUCAAAAACAUUUAAAAAUGUUUCAGAUCUUCCUGAUCAAUCAUGAAAUUAUAUAUAAAGAUUUCGAAGUUCUUUAACCUCCUUAAUUUUUUAAUAUCAUAUUGUAUCAAAUAUGUCUGCGCAAAAGAUCUUCUAAAUCGGGCGCCAUAACAUGUAGAUGGAGAUAGAGACACGUUAGAUGUCAGAGUAGUUAAACACAGGAGACAAAACUUUUCUAAUAAACUAUACAUAGAUUCUCUCUACCAAAAAAAUUAUAACCAUUUUGUAAUACUACCCGAAUCAUUAGUGACAAAAAUGGAACCGAAUCGCGCACUUUAAAAUGUUUCUUAGACUUACAGAUAGUUGUUAAGCCCAUUGACGAAUAAUGGGUUCAUUUGGGCCCAGUUCUUUUACUUUCUUUUAAUAAGUCGAGUUAGAGACUAACCACAUACGAUUGAGUCUGUUGAACUAAUAAGAUUAUAACAAAAAAUGGCAUAGAGAAAAUCAUUAAAGGACGUUCCUAUAGUUUUGUUUUCUACUACCAAAUAUAUAGAUCUAAUGUUUGGAAGUUUAUAACCCUACGUAAUUGCUGAAUUCAUUAAUCUGAAAGAUAUAUAGGUCAAGAAACAUAAAUUAAUCAUAGAUAGUGGAGAAGGAUAUAUAGGUUUCAACAUAAUUAGUAAGCAUAGAAAUAAAGAGAGCCAGGGCAGAUCUUUGAGUAUUUUUGACUAAAUAACCAUUAUUGUGGUCAAGAAACAUAAAUUAAACUACCAAUAAUUCAUACCAAAUACUUAUUUCUUGCAACUAAUUCACCUCUUCAUCCAGUAGCUGCUAACUUUAAUUAAACAAUACACAAAAUUGCAGCUACGACACUAAAUACAACUAUUAUAAUUUCUUUACAUGUGUUUUCUGUCUACUUAAAGUAAUCUAUAUUAUAAUAGUACGUUUUUUGCUUUUUUCUAAAGCUGUCCAACUCAGCAUGUGGGUCCCACUUAGAAAAAAAAUUAAAAAAUAAAAGACAUACUUACGAUUUAGUGGACCAUUCGAUAUUUGUUAUAAUGAGUUAUGUAUACAAUAGGCUUUGGCACUGACAAUAAAGAAAAGCCCCAACUGAUAUUAUGCUUGCAACAGUUAGAGUAAUGCCAAUUGUGAAGCGUCGUCGUUGAAGUAAACCUAGGGUUAUCUUCCUCGCUUCAGACAUAUCUGAAAAAGAAAGCUUCUCCUUUUGUCUUUUGCUAUGCUCUUUAUCUCCAGCAAACUCUACACCUCCCCAUCUUUAAUCAAACCAUCACUAAUGGGAUUCCCGCAACAUGACUAGAAGGUUUUCACGUUUGUCUCAUAUUAAUCAUGACCAUGAUAAGAUAAAUUCUAAUUGUCUAAUCUUUUGUUUUACUCCGUUUGAACAGUCAACCCUUAUGCAAGGAUCUGUUAGCGCGAAUCAACUUUUCAGAUUAGGAAAAUGCAGCCCUAAUCAAUAAUGGGUCGUACACCAUAGAAGUCCGCCGUAUUGCUCAUGCUGUGCGAGUCGGGCUAAGACAUAAGCUCACAGGUUAUCUCAUUCUCAUUGGUUCUUUCAUCCUUAUUUCCUUGGCUUUGGUUCUGGGUCUGAGGUCCAUACUUGUCUCUAUUAUUUAGUUCCUAGGGUACUUGUGAUUGUGUCUUGCUUUUACACUUCUUUUUGAUGUUUGGAAUGAUUGAAGUUGAUAUUUACACUCGUGUUAUGUUUGUGAAUAUUUGAAUCUAUAAUAAUAUUUCAAGAUUGUAUUUUUUAACUAUUCUUUGAGUUAUGAGAUGACUGGUGAUCUUGCUGAGAUCCGUGAGUGAGUAAUUCACUGACGAUUUGUUUUCAGUUUAUUAUAUUGACUCAACGGGUAAUUAACUGAUCGAUUUUUUACUUCUAUUUGCAGUACUCUUAUGUUCUUGCACCAUUCUGCAACACUGCUUCAUGAUGUGUUGGGUUAGGUAUGUUUUUUACAAAUUUUAUAAACACUAGAAACUAUUGACAGCUUUUGUUUUGGUUAUUCAAUGUGUCAUUUUGUGAAUGCAGGAAACACUUUUGAAUCUCUUCCUUCAUAACUACCUGCACUACAACCUUUAUGACCAAGCAGAGAGCUUGAGAUCAAAAGCACCAAGAUUGAAGAACAUUCUAACCAACAUGUUUAUCUUUUAGUAGUUAUUUUUUCAUAGCACUUGGUUAUUGUAGCUUUUCUAGAUUAUAGUUCAUAUCGUUUCUCUGAUCUCUCACCAUUGGUAACCUUUCCACAAACAAUUUUUUUUAAAAUAAAAAUACUGUGUUUAUAUGUAUCUCCUCCUAGGUUUUGCAAUAGGUUCUUAUAUUUACAUUGUAUUUCUUUUCCUUGCCUUACUUGUGCCUUCUUACACUUCCAUAUCUAAAAAUGUCAUAUAGUGUGUAUAUAUAUAUACACAUCUCACACAAUAUAUUUUUACAGUCAUUGGUAUUUUCUUAUCUCGGUAAAAUCCGGACGAUCCAACUAGUGUAACCUGAUGCAAAAGAGAGCCUCCUUCAGUCGGCUAGAAAAGCACAUGUCACUACUCUAGGCUUCACAGUCCAAGGCGACAAGUAGACUAUUUUUAGUUUGACUCCUCUUGGGUAAAAUUCCAUAGCGAUCCAUCUUCACUCAGAAAGGAAUGGAGAAGGCUCUUAGGCCAUAUUGCGAACUUACCAAUGUAAGUGUCAAUCUUAGUAAUUCUUACAUAUGUGACGCUUUCUAGAUUAAACACAAGUUAUUCUUCUAGCUACUGUAGUCCUCUUCGUUGUCCUAUCCUUUCUUGACAUUUAGCUAGAUUUAUGCAUCAACAUGUUCACCCUGAAAUAAGGAUUUUAUACUAAAAAUAUGUUUGAAUUUUAUCAGGCAGUGAGGAUUCGUGACUUAGAGCUCAUGAACGUCCAAGAGAGGUUUGAGACAUUUUCUGCAGACAUGACUCACAACCUCAUAGUCAGGCUCCGACAUAAUCAGAACAAGACUACGCAACAUUAGCAUCUCCUACUCAUAAAUCUAUCUAACAGAAGUCGCCCAGAAGCUAAGGCUAAACUCUGCAAACCCGGUGGCAGAUGGAGAAAGCAUAGUGGCUAAAGCCAUAGAGACGGAGCAAUCAACGCGACCAUCGACCACCAGAAUGGUUGUAUGGUCUCAAAGAACAACAGGAGACAUCUACUCCAUUAACGAGCCACAAAUUUCGUUGAACUCGAUGAUUGCCUUCUGUUUGAACAUCCACAACGAAGCGGUAGCGCUGAGGUUCCCACCAACACGCACAAGGAGAAAGAGAAUGAGGAGAAGAGGAGCGAGAUGAAACAUCAAGAAGAAGAUCAAACAAAAUACAUGGCCAAGGAAGAUGAUGACGAUUUCUAGAUUUGAUACAAACUCUAGCUUCUUGCUUCUCUCAUCUCUUAUGUUAUUUCAAAAUUAUCUGUCAUUUUUUCGACAACAUCCCGCGCAAGAUAUGCUCCCAGUAACCUUUAAUCACACCGUGAACUUUAUCCAUCACAUUUUACUGUGUAUGCAAGUAUAGAUGGUGGUUUUCAUAGUAUAUAAUCAAAGAUUAAUAUGUAUACUAUUUCAACUUCUUUUUUUUUUUACUUAAUAUACUAUUUCAACUUGGAGUUUCAUUAUUUAUUCUUAUUGACAUUUAUCCCUAUAAUAGCUAUGAUGAUAAGGAAUAGUGUUGCUUUGGAGAAAAGAAAGUAACAGAAGAAACAAAGAAAUGGACUCUCCUUUUUACAGAGCUCGAUUAAUAAUAAACUUUGCAGAAAAAAAUGUCGGCUUCAAACCCUACAAAGCUCCCACAGUAUCCAUGUUUCCCUCACUCCACGCCCCAUCUCUCUCUUUUAUAGAACCGUAUAGUAUAGAUGAUCGUAUAUUUCAGUCUUAUAUACAUACUAGAUUUUGAUCCGCGAUUUCAAAACGCGGAACUACUUUUUGUUGACAAUUUAUUAACCCAUUUGUUUGUUCACCAAUAUGUUUAGACAUGAACGUUCAUUUUCGAUUUUUUCUGGUUUUUGAUAUCUGUUCAGUUGUGGUUUUUGAUUUUUUGGUUCAAUAAAUAUACGAACCGUUCAAUUAUUCAUGAGUUUGGGUUUGGUUUCGGUUUGAUUAUUAUUAUUUUUAGUUUGAUAUGGAUAACAAUGUUAGGAACCCGAUAAAAUUUUGAGUUCAAUUCGGUUCUAAUUUCGAUUCAUUCUUUUUCAGAUAUUUUGAAUAAUUUGAUUAAAAAUCACAUUUUUGGAUUUUUUUUGAGAAAAAAACUGGAAAAAAAGUAAAUAUUUUAUAUUUUAAAAAUAUUGGGUGAUUCAAUCGGGAAAUUGGACAAUCCUAAUUUUUUGACAAUUUAUUAACCCGUUUGUUUGUUCACCGAUAUGUUUAGACAUGAACGUUCAUUUUUCGGUUCAGUUCCAAAUUUUUUUUGGUUUUCGAUUUCUGUUCGGUUGUAGUUUUUGAUUUUUUUGUUCAAGAAAUAUUGGAACCGUUCGAUUAUUCAUGAUUUGGGUUUGGUUUCGUUUUGAUUAUUUUUUUUUUUAGUUUGAUCUGGAUAACAAUGUUAGUAACCCGGUAAAAUUUUGAGUUCAAUUCGAUUCAUUCUUUUCAGAUAAUUUCGAAUAAUUUGAUUAAAAAUCACAUUUUGGAUAUUUUUUGAAACAGGAUCCUAAAAAAUUAAAUAUUUAAAAAAUAUUGGGUGAUUCGGUCGGGAAAUUAGGAUAAUCCUAAUUUUUGUUGACAAUUUAUUAAUCCGCUUAUUUAUUCACCAAUAUGUUUAGACAUGAAUGUUCAGUUUUCGGUCCGGUUCCAUUUUUUUUGGUUUUCGAUUUAUGUUCGGAUGUGGUUUUUGAUUUUUUGGUUCAAGAAAUAUAGGAACCGUUCAGUUAUUCAUGAUUUGGGUUUGGUUUCGUUUUGAUUAUUCUUUUUUUUUUUUAGUUUGAUCUGGAUAACAAUGUUAGGAAUCCAAUAAAAUUUUGAUUUCAGUUCGGUUCUAAUUCGAUUAACUUUUUCAGAUAAUUUCGAAUAAUUUUAUUAAAAAUCACAUUUUUGGAUUUUUUUGAAAAAAGAUCCGGAAAAGUUAAAUAGUUAAAAAAUAUUGGGUGAUUCAAUCGGAAAAUUAGGAUAAUCUUUAUCUUACAUAGUAAUACUUCUUAUCUUUUAUAAACCUAUAUAUAUUGAAGUUGAUUUAAUAAUGAAAAUAUAUUACAUAUAUAUAUAUAUAUAUAUAUAUAUAUGUAUAUAUAAUAAUUUCAUUUAUUUAAAAAUUAUGUUAUUUCGAAUUGAUAUAUAAAAUUAAUAUAUAUAUGUAUACAUCAUAAUUUCAUUUAUUUAAAAAUUAUGUUAUUUCGAAUUGAUAUAUAAAAUUUAUUAAUUUAUGUACUUUUUAUUAUAAUAGUGGUUAUAGUAUUGUAAAAUCUGCUUAAAACAAAAUAUUUGCUCUUACGAACCUCGAACCUAUCAGCAUACAAUAUGUGUCUAUUUAAAAAUGUUAAUGUUAGUGUAUACAUUUGUAUUCGUAUUCUUGUAAAUAAGACAUUUGCUAAAGUCUUAGUAUUCCAUUUUUUUGUCAAACCCACUUAAUCUACUUAGCAAGUAGAAAAUGAUGUAUACAUGAGAAUUUGGACGUUAAGAUCUGCUGUAUAUUAAAAAAAUUAUAUGCUAUCAAGGACUCAUGACUAAGGAGGUGCAAUGGCGGAUCAAAGUUUAUAACUAAGAUCAUCUCCAAAAGGCACUCUAUAACUUCAAAUUCCAAAAGACACUCUAUAACUUCAAAUUCCAAAAGACACUCUAUAACUUCAAAUAUGAAGUUUUUUGCUCUCCAAAAAGAAACUUCAAAACUUAAAAUUUGAAGUUUUGAGGAUUGAAACUCUAUAUUUGAAGUUUCACUACUCAAACUUCAAAUUUGAACUUUCAUAUUUUUUUUUGCAGUUUGGUCCCUAUAAUCACACAUCAUCUUUAUGAUUCAUAAAUGUUUUCUCGUUUAUUGUUUUAAUCCUUAAAAAAUUAUAUCUCAUAAAUAUUUUAAAUUUUGUUUACAGAUUUUAAAUUUUACACAUAAAAUUAAAUAAAACUUUAAAAUAAGAUUUAAAAUAUUUUAACCUAGAUUUAGACAACAAUAAUAUACAAAAAAAACUUAACAAAAAGAUUUUUAAAAAUUACAUGAAGACAUAACUAUUACACAAAUUUAAAUAUUACAACAACACUAAUAGUCAGGUAAGUUUGAUCCGAAACCUUCAAAUUUUCAAAUAUUGUCCAAUUUUUUUGUGUAACUGAUGAUCAUUGUUGUUGUUGUUUUUGAUGUCUUUUUCGUACAAUUCUUUCUUUUUCAUAUUGAAUAUAUUCACGAGUAUUAAUAUCAUCAAAAAGAAAUUAGUCUUUUAGCAAUAUUUUAUGUUUCUCUUUUACUAUCUUGUUCCGAUCUAAUGUAUUUACAAGUAUCAAUAUUUUAUGUUUUAAUUUAUACCUAAAUCUCUCAUCCGAGGGUAUGGAUGGAAGCUAACUUGGUCUGCUUGUGAGGCUAAGAUGAAAGGCUCGAAUUUGUUGUACCUUCGUCCACCGUUGACAUCAACUACACCGAAUUUGUUAGACCGAACACCUCUGUUGACGACGGGGUCGAACCAUUCACAUUUGAAGAGGACGCUUUUCAGCUUCAGUAUCCCUGGAAAUUCGACUUCAAUAAUCUCCGUCAAGAUCCCGUAGAAAUAUGUUUCCCCUUUCACACAUAUUCCAUAGUUACUGGUCGCCCGCUGUCUAUCAUACUCAUAUGUAUGAAAAGUAUAGCCUCGUGUGAAAUACAUCUGUGAUGUGGUGACCUUUACAAGUGGAGAUUGAAUUACUUCGUGUAACCACUUAGGAUAAUCUGCAUCGUCGUCGUCAUAAUCAAACUGCAAAAAUAAAGAGAAUGUUAAUGAAAUACAGAUCAUGAAUGAAAAAAGAGUUUGAGUUAAUACCUGAUUCCGCAACCACUUAAUGAAGUGUUGAUCUUUCCUUUUGUCUACGUCACUUGUGGAUAUACCAGGAAAUGUUUCUUCGACUUGAGAAACAAAUAGGCUGUAAAAUCACAUUUUAUAGGAAUGAAUCUCUCGCAAUUAUACAAUUAAUUAUACUUAUAUGUGUUUCGAAGUGUCAAUAUAUGUUACCUUUCAAAAUAACGCAUCAAUGGAUCUUCGCAAUUGAGUAGAAUAUAGGUGUGUGCACUAUGAGCGUCUUGUUCACUCGACCACCAAACCUCUUUAGACUUCCCACCGAGUCGCCCAAUCUGGCUAAAGAUGUCUGGAACACCAGCAACUGCAUAUGUUGGCGCAACACCACCAUCAUCAUUUCUUCUUGGAGCUCUUCUCCGGGUACGUAAUUUUGACUCAAAGUAGUACGAUGUGAAGUGAGAAACUUCUUCUGUCAAACUUCCAGCAAUUAUAGAACCUUCAACUUUGGCGAGGUUCUUUGUUUUUCCCUUCAAAUAUUUCAUGGCUCGCUCAUACUGAUACAUCCAUCCGUAAUGUACAGGUCCACGAAGCAAUGCCUCAUAUGGGAGGUGGACAGCUAGAUGCUCCAUGACGUCAAAAAAUCCAGGAGGAAAUAUCUUCUCCAUGUUGCACAAUAAGAUGGGAAUGUUCUCCUGAAGCUGUUCCACAACUUCUUCUUUAAGAGUGCGUGUGCUCAGAUCCCUGAAAAAUGCUCCAAUGCCUUUUAUAUUCCAAAAAAAAUUAAACACAUUGUUAGUCAUAUAUUAUUUUUGUAAAUUAUUGUGAUAUAAUACACUACGUACCUGCAAGUGCUUCAUGUACGUUUGUUGGAAGUAGCUCCGAAAAUGCAAAGGGCAGUAGUCGUUGCAUAAAGACAUGACAAUCACGACUCUUCAUCCCGGAGAACUUUUGACCCUUUUCAACACAUCUAGAGAGAUUCGAAACAUACCCAUCGGGGAACUUCACUUCUGAUGCCACCCAAUUGAACAACACCGACUUUUUUUCUGAAGAUAAUCUGAAUAUCAGAACGGGAACUUGUCCAUUGCUUUUAAUUUGUAACUCGCUUCUUGAGCAAAUAUCCGGCAAGUCCAAUCUCGAUUUUAUGUUGUCUUUUGUCUUCCCUGGGACAUUCAAUAUUGUAUUCCUGAUGUUCUCAAAGAAAUUCUUCUCUAUAUGCAUCACAUCGAGGUUGUGGCGCAGAAGAAGAUCCUUCCAAAAUGGAAACUCCCAAAAUAUACUCUUCUUGUGCCAGUUGUGAUGAACACCGUAAGAAUCAGGCAUAUUACGAGGGACAUGCCAAUUACCACCCCAACGAACUGUUUCGUUAGCUCCGUAGUAGUCGAUUUGCGCUUCAAUUUGUUCUCCAGUCACAUAUGGAGGAGGAGUGUCUCUCACAACCCUUUUGUGCCUAAACAAAUUCUUGUUUCUUCGGUAAGGAUGGCCAAUGGGAAGAAAUCGACGGUGACAAUCAAACCAACUUGUCUUCCUACCAUUCUUCAGUUGAAACGCAUCUGUCAUUCCAUUACAAUAUGGACAAGCUAUUCUCCCAUGUGUAGUCCAUCCAGACAACAUCCCAUAGGCAGGAAAAUCACUUAUGGUCCACAAAAGCAUCGCUCGCAUCGUAAAAUUCGUCUUCGUUGAACAGUCAUACGUCCUCACCCCUGUUGACCACAAAUCCUUCAACUCUUUUAUCAGUGGUUGUAGGAAAACAUCCAGGGACCUUUUUGGAUGGUUCGGACCAGGUAUUAAUAUGGUCAAGAAUAGUAACUCCCGUUGCAUGCACAUCUCCGGUGGCAGGUUGUAUGGAGUAAGAAAGACUGGCCACAAUGAAUAUUGUCUCCCUGACAUUCCGAACGGACUAAAUCCAUCUGUGCAUAAUCCGAGAUACACAUUCCGGAUAUUGGUAGCGAAAUCCGGAUGUACUUUGUUGAAAUGUUUCGAGGCUCUUGCAUCUGAUGGAUGAGUCAUCUCACCAUCCGUCUGAGUAUGCUCGGCAUGUCAUCUCAUCUUUCCAGCAGUCUGCUCUGAUUGAUACAAUCUUUUCAAUCUGUCUGUAAUUGGUAGGUACCACAUCCUUUGGUACGGUACCCUAUUACGUCCCCGUCCUUGCGGCUUGAAUCGUGGCUUCUUGCAGAAUCGACAUUCUUCUAGCUUCUCAUCAUCUCCCCAAUAGAUCAUGCAGUUGUCGAUGCAAACAUCUAUCAUCUCCGAAGGUAACCCAAGACUAUAAACCAGUUUCUGAAUCUCAUAAUAAGAAUCAGCAGACACAUUGUCUUCCGGCAAAUACUCUUUAAACAAGUCCGCCCAUUCGUUCAUGUAACUUUCAGGUAGAUUGUGAUAAGUUUUACUAUUCAUCAUUCUAGCAGCUAACGACAAUUUAGAGAGACCUUCUCUACAACCACUGUAAAGUGGUUGAUUCGCCGCGUUUAACAUUUCGUAAAACUUUUUUGCAUAUAUAUUAGGUUCUUCAUCUUCAUCAUGAGCUACGAAUGCAUCAGCUACCAUAUCAUGAUCCCUAUCAUAAUCUACCAUCUCCUCCUGAUGGUAACUAUGUUCAUUAUGCAAAUGAUGAUCAACCGGUUCUUUUUCCUGAAAAUUGUUAUUACUACUACUAGCUUCAUUCUGAUCAUAAUUAAAACCUUCUCCAUGUUGAAACCAGAUAUAGUAAUUUGGCGUGAAACCUUUAUUUAUUAAAUGCUUCCAAACAUUUUCACGGUUUGCCAGUUUCGAAUUGUUGCAUUUCCGACAAGGACAGAACAUCUUACCACUUUCUUGGGCGAGCGGUGUUGAAUCUGCUUGAUGCAUAAAUGUCUCCAGACCCGCAAGGUAUUCUUUCGUCACUCUCCCGUUAGCAUCUCUAUGAAUAUACAUCCACUUCCGCAACUCGUAAAUAGUCCCGGAGCCAGUCAUUUUUUUUUUCCUUCACGUUUUUUGUUGUUGGUGUGUUUAAAAUGAUUUUCAAACAUCCAUAUUUAUAGGAAAUUUCGAAUCUGGUAGUUGUAAUUUUCCUAUGAAUUUACGACGAAAAUUAAUUAGGUGGCAAAAAAAAACGUGUAACACCUACAAAGUUGGUGGAUUCAAAAUUUCCUCGCUAAAUACACGUAAACUAUUUCCUCGUAAAUAACACGCAAAGUUUACGUCGUAUUUACGAGGAAAUAGUUUUUCCUCGUAAAAUACUCGUAAAGUUACAUCUACUUUACGACGAAACACUUUUGUCGUUACGUUACGAGGAAAUAACGAUGACUUUAGUUUUCCACGUAAAUUUCUCGUAAAAUCGACGUAAAUUUACGAGGAUUGUUUUUCCUCGCUAAAUUUCCUCGUUAAGCAUGUGUUUUCUUGUAGUGUAGAUUUCAACAACUUUUAGCUCGUAACCACAAAGUAAAAAUGAGGAGAGCCAUUUUUACUUCGAAAUGCAUUAAUAGAUCAUAUAUGCAUUACGAAAAUCAUUUUAUGAAAUAAUAUGAUAUUUUGUUUGAAAUUUAAUAUUAAUUAAGCUAUUUUUAUUUAAAUUUUUAUAUUUAAUAGAAUAUUUUAUUAAUUAAUAUUGUUGUAAUAUGUUUAUAUAUGUGCUAGUUAUUUACAAAAGUUUUAUGAAUUCAAAUUAAUUAUGACAAAUAUAAGGACCAUAUUAUAAAAUAUAAAUAGUUUUGAAAUUGAGUUUGAAGUUUUGCUUUUGGAGAAGAAUACUUUAAAACUUCAAAUAUAGAGUUUUAGAAACUUAAAAAUAGAGUUUUUUUUGGAGAUGCUCUAAUAUAGAUAUCAACCCUUUUCUGAAACGGAUAAAACAUUAAAUGAAUGAUUAUUACAUUAAGUAUAGAUAGUAAUUAGGCGAAAUUUAAGUAUAAAUCUAAUUUACUUUUGAAAAUAUAGCUGGCAAUUUUAUUUAUAAAAAUGUCAAAAAGACAAUGGUAUUUCAUUGUAAAUAACUUUAAAAAUUAAGGGUAGAAUCUUAGAAGGGAUUCUGCUUUCGUAGUGUAGAUGUUUGUAUAUGACUUUAUGCAAUGCAACUGACGGCACUCGUAUGGUAACCAUUUUCAUUUUAUGGCAUCGUAUAAUAUAAUGUGUAUUGAUGUGUUGAGUGUGUGUGUAGUGUAAAUGGAAUGUUCAUUAUAAGUAUGAUUGUUCUUAUAUUCUCUCCUGCGGAUUGUUAUGAUUUAUCUAUCUGCCUUUUUUUCCUGUUGGCAUUAUUACGCAUUCUCAAUGUAAUAAUACAAGCCUUCUUAUCUUGGUCCCUUUUUUAUCGCUUUUUCAUAGCUUUUAUUUAUCUGCCUUUUUUUCCUGUUGGCAUUAUUACUCAUUGCUGUUGUAAACUCUCAUGCUCUUUGAGCUUUUAAUAUAAGUGGUGUUACAAAAAAAAAAAAAAAAAAGUUGUACAGAACUAUAUAUACACAUGCUACGAGUUUUUGGUUUGUAAUUCUUCAUCCCUUAGGAUCCCACAUUCAUAUGAAGUUAAAAUAGUAUAUAAAAAACAUAGCUUACUCAAAAUAGAGUAGUGAUUUAUAUUUUUCUCUAUUAUGUUAUAUGAUCCCCUGUUAUGAGAUAAUAAUGUAUAUUUUAGACUUUUAGUUAUAUUUUAGAUUAAAGAAAUAAAUAGUAAAAAAAUAAAAGAGAAGAUUUUAGUGUUUGAAAAUUGAAAACUGGGGAUGGGUCAAUAUCCAUAGAUUGACUAAACCUGAAUCUAAAAUUGUUAAUAGAUUCUGUAAUAAGACCGUUGAUCCAAAAAAAAAAAAAAUCCUGUAAUAAGACCCACUGGUCCAUAACUGAAUGCUCUACUCUAUACGUACCAAUAGCUCAUAAGAGACGUCCCGUCACUCCCAGUAUUCUGGCUUCACUCUUAGGAUUCUGGGGUCCAUCUAUAUUCCAAUUUUAUUCUUUCUCGUUUUGAUAAAAAAAAAUUAGUUUAAAGUUUAGCUGCAAGUCAAAAUUCAAUAAAUAAGACACUUUUUCUUAAUGGAAAUACAGUUCCGAUAUAAAAUAUGGAAUUUAUUUGUGAUUUAUGGAUCAAAUUGAACGACUAGAUAUUUUUAACAUUUAAUUCAUGUAACCAUUGACUUUCCAUUUAAAAUGACCAAUUUCUUUUAUUAUAAUAUUUGUUAACAAUUAAAUAAUUUGAAAAAUGUAAGCAAAUAAACAUACUGCAGGUUUAAAAGGCAAAAUACUUGAUUUUUUUAUACAAUUCAAGUAAAAAUACAUAAUUAGUAGUAAGAAAAAGAUACAAGUCAGGAUAAGGAAAAAUAUGAUUAGUGGUAGUUAAAUGGUUUGGACAGUAGUUAUUGUUUUACUGCAUUUAUUUCCACUGUUAUAAAAAGCAUUGCAGAUUACUAUAUGGUACUUGUAUUAAAUAUUUUGCAGCUUUAAAAUUCCAAGUGCCAGAAAUCAUGCGGCAUAAUUACUCCUAUCGUUUGUAAUUUUUUUUAUUCUACAGUCUACAGUUUCCUCUGUGCAACUGUAUGAUCCCACUAGUGAUUUUUUUUUCCAACGACCAUAAUAUAGAUAAUUAACGCAUAUUGAAUUUACAGCUAAACCGAAAAUUAGAUUUAAGAAAUUGGACCAACAAAGUUAUGCGAGUUGUUUUUUCCAAUUUGUACUCUGACUCUUGGGAUUUUAAUAAAACAUAAGGUUGACAAAAAAAAAGAAAGUUAUGCGAGUUGUGACCAUUUGUGGCGACUCGUGAUCGUGUCUCUGAACGACGCCGUAGAGCUUAGCGGUCGUUUGCAUGGAUGACACGUUGGCAGAAUCGACGGUUGGGAGAUAUUCUAGGGAAGUUGAGAAAAAACGUGGGUGAGUUACGAAGCCAUUGAACGGUGUAGAAGAGCGCGUGCGGUCGAUUCUUACGUUAUUUAAUAUUGACCAUUGGAUCAAAAUCGUCGAUCCAUGUAGCGUGCGCAAAGGCACGUGCUGUUAUGAAGACCAUUACGUGUCGUUCUGGUAUUGGAUAUUAAUGCUGACUCCGUUUGUGAUGGCAAAGAAGACAAUUUAACUAUUUUCCCAUUAAUAAACGAGCUAGUUUGUACAAACUACAAAGCUAAAAUUUAAGUUAACAGACACAAAGAUUUGAAAGAAAAAAAAAUUUAUAGUCAAAUGUCCCAUUUUGUAGUUUUUACAAGAAUUCCACUAAAUAGCAAUUUUUUUCUUUGCGUUAUAAAACCAUUUAUAAUGUAAAAUUUCAUUUUUUUUUCUUUCGAAAUAAAACAAUUCGAAGGUUGAGUUUCUUCUAGUUUUACUACAUUUUUAGUGAAAAAUGGAAUAAUGAAUAAUAAAUAAAUAUAUUCAAUUUAUUAAGUAAAUCAAUAUUAAUUCUAUUUGCGAAGUGGAAAAUUGAAUGGGAUUGAAACAAUUUUAAUUCUAAACUUUAUUUAAUAGUAAAUUAUGAAGUAUGGUUGGUGAUACUUUAAGAAUGAGGUUGGUGAUACUUUAAGAAUGACUAUGAAUCCGAUAUUGUCGACUUAACUAAUAUAGGAAUUAAUAACAUAUCUAAUGUAAUACUCAAUGUUCCUUUUUUUUUCCAACAGAGUUUUCAUUGAUUCGUUGAUAAAAUACAAGGGUAGAAUACUUGUGUCGGCGAAAAAGAUGAACUUCCCCGGAAACUAAGCCCAUAAGAGGGGAACGACAGUCUAAGAAACAUACCACUAAAAUCCAACAUAAACAUUAAGCUACAAACUGGAAUCCUUCGACUAAACCGUGACCUAACAAGACAUAAAAGUAUCAGACUUAGUUAUCUUAUGAUCAGCCGGUAGCCUUACCAAACUCAAGGCAAUAGAGUAGGAACCAUAGAAGUACUUCAUGAAGAGCAGGAACCAUCAUCUGAACCUUCUCGUUCAAGAUGACCACAAACCACCUCUAAGACGAAACCAAGACGAAAACCAUGAAGAACCAACACUCUGGAGAACUCACUACUCAACUACACCUUCAUCUGCACACCUUAAAACCUCAACCUCAUUCUAAAGCUUCACCACAAGAAGCCACCGAAGAAAACCAGAGACCAAAGACAACCAGGAGAGACACUUAUUCAAAGGGCAGGAGGAGGACUCUUCUGAUACUGGGGAAUGGAAUGGUUAACCUGAGACCACACUUUUACUCAACAGCCCUUCAGCUGCUCUUCAUACGCCAAUACCGUUCUGCUACACCGUUGCUAGAACAAAGACAAACUAAGCCAAUCUGUGAACUCUAUGACAGAUUAGUCGAUAUCAAACGCAUAAGACCAGCUAAGAAACCACAAACUAAACGAAACUUUAACAACGAGCAACUACAAUGGAGGAAGAGAAUCCGAGACCCACUAUAGGAUAGAAACCACAUACCAGAAGAAGCAGGGGCUGCAAACUCUUAAAGCACACCACCGACAUCAAGAUGAGUAGAUCUACGAAUCAAAGGAGAAGAGUUUGAUGCCGGCUAGAAACGACCAGCACACUUCUUCAUCAUCUAGAAAAGAACCGCCUUUGGCCAUCAGACUCUGAAGCCGAACUUCACGCGCCACCACGCACCUUCAAUCUGGUACCUUCACUCCCAUCAACCAGCUCGGAUCACCACACCUUUAGAGAACAACAAGAGCACAUCACAAUAGAGCAGAGAAAUUCGACUCCGGUGCUGUGAGAGCCACCGGAGUCGACCACCACAAAACCUAGAUCUAUUUUUUUUAUAGAGAAUACAAUGUUCCUUUAAAAUAUAGUAAUUUUAUAAACAAAUUUAGGUUUAUUCCAAUCAUACUUUAUUUUAAAGAAAAAAUAAUAUUAAUUAAAAAAAUGUUUUACUUUAUUUAUGAAGUAUAAUCAUUUUCUAAUACACCAUGGAGUGAAAAAUAGAAUAUAGUUUUAAAAGACUUUUUAAUGGUCUUCUAAUAAUUACUUCAGAUUUCAUUUUAAAAUUAAUGGAAUGAAGGUUCUUAACUCAAAACCUUAUUGGAAUUGGAUCCAUUGCUAAUAGGAAGACUCAAUAAACGCAUGAAAAUGAAAAAUUAAUGAAACGAGAAAAUGAGACCAUGAUUUUAAAACAAAUACUAUAAUAGAAUUUGAACGGUUAGGAAUGUGAUAAUCACGAAGAUGGCAUGAUAUUAUAGUUGGAGAGGGUUACUUGGCGAAAGAAUCAAAUAGAAUUUUCACAAAUAUGGAAUGUGACGUGGCCUUAUUUUCAUAUUAUUAUUGUAACAUUACGUACACAUUCGUGAUCAACGUAUCCAAAUAUGCUCAAUCACAUCCAUUUGAUUUGAUAAUUGAAAUAACUCGUUCACCACUUUAAGACAUGUAACAUAGGUACGUUAAUACUCCACAGUUAUGUUAACUCCACGGUUGUCGGUCAUAACAUAUUAAUGUACGUAUGUUACCGAAUAGUUUUGCAUUGAGCUUGGUUUACCUAACGUAUGUACUACACAGUUAUAAUCCACGAUUAUCAGAAUUAUAAUUAACUUGAUUUGCCGUCCACUUCACGCGUGCCGAGCGGUCAAAAAUUUCAGACGCGAAAGCACCAAAUAAUGCAUUUCACUUUUUCUUGCCACCUUUUUGUUUUUAUUGUUUCUUGAAUUCUAAAACUAAUAUUUUCACAUGAUUCCAUUAUAUAUAGGGAAAUUACUUAGAAUAACACACAUUUUAUGAGUAAUGACUAGAAUAACAUACCAAAACAAAGAAAGAAGAAAAAAGUGAGUUAAUGUCCAAAAUACCCAAUCAAGAAAUAUAUUUAAACAUAAUAUAACUUUUUAAUACAGAAAAUGAAAGACUCUAGAUAAAGUAGAAGCUUUGGUUGAACAAAAAAGGUAAAAAAAAAAAACAUUUUCUCCCCCACGACACUUUCUCUUUCCCGUGACCCUCCUCCCCAAGAACCCUAAAUCCCCAAAUUGUGUAAUCCUCAAAAUUUCGAUUCACUUUCUUAUUAAGAUGAUUCCUCAUCGAUUGGGUCAUGUCGACACUCUACUCUACCACUAAAAGCCUUCGAUUCCUCAUCCACUCGGCCGACGAACCCUAAAUCCCCUUUCUAAAGUUCAAAGUUUCGUCGAAGGUCGUAGCUUUAUUUACGUUUUCUCAGUUGUUUCUUUAGAUACAACCUCAUCUCCUCUUGAAGCUAUUCAAUUGACCAAGAAAUCGUGGCAUCAAGGUUUAGUCUCUUUCUUAGUUUUUUGGGUUUUUUAUAAUUGGAUUUCUUGAAAUAUAAAACUUGUGUGUCCCUUACUUCAUUGUUCAUUAUUUACAGAGAUAUGACUACAUCAAGCACCCACAAAAAAUAUCCAGAAAGACUUUAUGAAGAGGGAAAAUGUCCACUGCAAUAUCGAUCAAUGAAUCAUAACUGUCACUUGGCUGGUUUGCAGAUGGUGGAGGAAUCUGUUGGUUUGGAUGCGUGGGAAUCCAUUAAGGCAUCUUCUGUUGGAGUUAUUAUAAGGUUGAAAGAGAUGGAUUAUACAUGGUCAGCCCAAGUCGUUCACCAUUUGCUGGCAAACCAACUGGUCGUGGAUAAUCUUCAUGAGCUAUGGUCUGCAAUAGAAGGACAGCCAAUCAGGUUUUCGCUAUAUGAGUUUGGUGAAAUAACAGGUUUGAAUUGCGACCCUUUCGACAUUAAUGAUAAGGUGGAGGUUGAUCAUAAGGCGUUUUGGGAAGAGAUGGGUGUGUCUCCUUCACAUGGUCCAAUGUUAUCUGAGUUGCGCGAAUUGUUUCCUCGCAUUAGGAAUUGGUCAUUUGAGAAGAGAAGAAUGAUUGGCUGGCUUUGUGUCUUAUCGAUUGGCAUAUUAGGCAUCUCUCCUGGUAGCAGAAUUCCUUUAGAAGAAGCGAAGAGAGUCCUAGACGCAGAAGCUUUUGAAAGAUAUCCUUGGGGGCGUGUCGGAUUUUCCAGCCUCGUUAAUUCAGUUAAGCUUGUUUCAUAUGAAGGAAAGAAGAAAUAUACACUUCGUGGAUGUGUUCAUGCUCUUCUCAUCUGGGUGUAUGAAUCAAUACCUGGCAUUGGGCAUGAAUAUGGGAACCAUAUUGAGGGUAACCAAGUUCCUCUUCUCUCUUGGUCUGCAUCCCGUCCCCGUAUACAGUGGGAUUUGUUUUAUAAAAAAGAGAAAAAAGCUCACCAGAAGGUAGUUUCUUACAUUAUUGUUAACUCUUAUUAAAAGAUAUCACUUGUAAAUGUAUUCAUACUAAUGUUUUUUACAUGACUUGAUUGGUAGGUGCGUGUCAGACAUCUCAUUGUUAAGGCAGAAUCGGACAUAUAUCCUCAAUGGGAUGAUGACAAGGUUGAUGAUGAUCUUCAUAACUUGAUUUUAGACAUUCUACAUGACCAGCUUGAUGAUAAGUACUGGAGCUUGAAGGCAACUAAUGAACCAGUAGCAAUCAAAAAGCAAAGGAAUUUAGUGACUGAAGAAGAUCAUUGCAUGAAGAAAAAAAAUUCAGCGAAGAGGAAAAUCACAGUGAGUAUGCUUGAUUGUUUACUUGUAAGAUUGUUUACUUGUAUGUAUUGAUUAGUCUAGUUUGUGAAGCCGUGCUGAAAGUACUUUGUUUUUUACUUGAGUUUAUUGUUGAGUUCGUUUACUGUUUUAUGGCAGGACUGUGGAUCCAGCCUUAACUCAGGUGGAGAUGAUGGAUUCAGGCAUGAUCUAAUGGAAGCAGUGAAGACAUUGACUGCAACGGUUCAAAAUGUGGACACAGUUGUUGCUGAGAAGGUGUUGACUACAUUAGACACAAAGAUUGAAGCAAAAGUAAAUGCAAGAGUUGCUCAAGCCGAGCAGGUACUUGGCAGUCAAAUCUUAGCAUUACAAGAACAAGUUGCUAAAAUUACAGAGCAGAUGCAAGAAACUGCCCCCAAAAAUGAUGGACACAUUGUAAACCAAGAAGAUGAAGUCAACAGCAAUGAUCCGGUUAGUCUUUUGCUUCACUUAUGAGUAUGUCUAUUUUAGGUUAAAGUAACUUUAGAUUCGAAAUUAACUUGAAAUUGGUUUUGACAUACUCAAAUAGUCAUGGAUGGUCCAAGACAAGACACCAUUUGAUGUAGAUGCGGCAGUGCAGUGUGUGGUUAGAAAGAAAGCCAAGAAAUCCGAGGUCAAGCUAACGUCUCCUAUUCUACUUGACACUGUUGGAGGGAAGGUUACUAGAAAAAAUCAAGUAAAAGAACCUGCUGGAGGUUUGAUAAACGUUAAGAAGGAGAAGAAUGCAGUUCCACAACUUAGAGAUUCUGCUGAAACAUGGUCUGAUUUAGAAGAUAAGCAAAAAUAUGACAUCCUAGGUACCACGUUAGACCAGUUAGCGGCAUCACUUUUAGAAGGACCUUUGCAUAAACGCAAGCCACAACUGACUAAGACUCAAGUGUAUCCAUAUGUUGGUAACUCAACUGUGAAGAGGAUCAUAACAGGCGAUUCUGAGAGUAUAGCCGACUGUGAUCCCUUAACUAAAGUUGAGGAGGCAAAAUUUCAGAAGCUAAUGGAUUAUCUACGAAGUAUUGCGUAAGUGUAAUAAGUAACAUGUCUUAUUUUUUUUUUCAUAAUUCAAACUGUUAGACUAACUUGAGCUUGUUUUUCAUUCAUUUCAGUGGUGAUAACGAUGUAGACACUCACUUCUACAUGAAGCUAAUAACGCCAAGAAAACUCUGGAAAACAGAUGAGUGUGGGUGGCUAACAGAUUCUGUAAGUUUUUCAUUUUUUUCUUGUAUCAACAUGAUUCCGAGUAGCUAACAUACACUCUAUUUUUUUUGGUUGACAGCAUAUGGCAUCUGCAAUGCUUAUGUUUCAUAAAAGAUCUAUGAGGAACCCUUCACCAUACUCAUCAAGGAUAGCUUUUCUUGACCACUGGUUUGUCAAUACGUGGGUCAGAGACUACAAGAAAUACGAUCCUAAGACAUGGAAGUUCUCAGAUACGUACAAGAAGGUCUUCAAUGGCAAUUAUCCUGAAGAGUUUUCCAACAACAGAAAGUGGCUGAAGGAUGUUGAUCGGUUGUUUCUUUGCCACUUGAUCAAUGGUAACCACUGGGUCGCUUUAGAAGUGGAUCUUGACAAGAAAAUAAUUCAUGUCUACGACAGCAUACAGACAGUUGUCCCGAGCAUCACAGAUCUUCUAGAAGAGUGUCGUCCUUUCACGAAGAUGAUUCCGUUAUUGCUGAAUGAAAUGGUUCCAGAAAGAAAGAAGAGUUCACAACAGUUCAGGAUUUCAAGACCUAAAAGUGUGCCUAAGAAUGAAGCCCCUGGGGAUUGUGGUGUUUACGCUCUGAAGUAUAUAGAGUGUAAGGCAGUUGGCUGUGGUUUUGAAGGACUUUCUGACCAGUGCAUUCCGGCAAUGCGUAUUAAGUUAGCUGCUGAGAUCUAUGAUGAGGUCUCGGGUCUGUAGUAUUUUCAUGUUUUCGGAUUAGUUAUCUACUUACAACCGGCAAGUUUCCCUGUGAAAGUAUGUUUGCAACAUUAGUUUCGUGUUCAUAAAAUAUUCAUGUGUUAUAGGAACUCAAGUGUACCUCUAAAAGCUUCUCAACUCCACGAGUUAGAAUUGUUUUCAUCAAAUAUGCAUCAUUCUUCCGUGCCGAAAACCAUCGUGUCAUCAUUAGCCUUAUUGCUUCUAAAAGUCUUACAACCGGCAAGUUUCUUGCUUCUGAAAGCACUUUGUUUAUAGAUUCAGCUAUGUUGGUUGUAGUCAAGUUGUACCUAUCACCAGGGAAAUGAGCUCGUGCCCACUUCCUUACAUCUGCUUUCUGCAAAUAGCGAUGCAGAGCCGGGUGCAUUGCUUUGAUCUCAUCAAAUAUGGUCUCAAAAUCUGAAAGCCUGAAUGAAUUAGCUGCCUUUUUAACCAAACCAAACAACUCGCGACCUCUAAACUUUAACAAGACAUUCUUAUACAAGUGGUAAGUACAAACUCCACGGCUAGCAGAUGGAUAGACCUCGGAUAUUGCAUUGCCAAUUGAUUUGUGUCUAUCAGAAAUAAUAGCAAGUCUUUCGUCAUCUGGUAUCACACAGCUGAGUUGCUUGAAAAACCAUUUCCAUGAUUCAUCGUUUUCAGUAUCGACUAUCGCAAAUGCAAUUGGAAAUAUCUGGAAGUUGCCAUCUUGUGAUGACGCAAUUAGUAGAGUUCCUUUGUACUUGCCUUGCAAGAAUGUGCCAUCGACCACAACAACCUUCCUCAUGAAUGGAAAGCCCUUGAUGCUAGCACCAAAUGCAAUGAAAAGGUACUUAAAUCUGUCACUAGAAUCUACUACAAGGCGAGUGAAUGUCCCAGGAUUGGCUUCUCUAAUCAUGUGCAGAUACACAGGUAACUCAUGGUAGCCACUCUCAGGUGUUGCUUGUCUGCAACGAGCUGAUCGUUCUGUAACUGAACAAGUAUGUUCAGAAACAUAGAUGCGUACGGUAAAGCGAGGACUAUCACUUGUUGGUGAUGCUCUUAACUUCCAACUACAGCCUUCAAUCCAACACUUUACGAUUAGAAGAGUCGGCGUUGAGUACUCAACAUCAUAAUCAAAUUUUUGCACUAUCGUCAAGAUCUUAAGUCGUGUUGUUAAUGAAGACUUGGAGUCAAAACUUUGGCCAACAACUAUAUCUAUAGAAUCCAGUUGUUGCCUAACAUGAGUGACUACCUUAGCCUUUUUCGAUUUUGUUGCUGACCCAAUCUUUGGCUUAUACUCCUUCUUCAUCUCUAUAUCUAAUUUUGGAGUUAAUCCGUACCCUAUAAAGUCCUCGUCAUCUGAUGUAGCACCAUCUGAAUCAUCGCAAUAGUCAAAUCGUUCUCCGUCAGUGUCUGUGUCUUCAUCAUGAUUAUAAUCAGAUUGGUUUUCCAUCAGUGUCUGUGUCUUUUUCGUUUUCUUGUUGCUUCUUAGAGAGACUUCCACACAUAGACGGACUUGGUCAGACUUUCGGAGACGGAUGAAACCUUGAAAUUGUCGAAAAUUCCCAAUUUUAACUGGAGGUGUGUCAUGAGUUAGCUUCAUCAAGCUUUUCCUGCUAAGCAUGUAACUCAAUUCGAGAUUAACAUGGCCUCUGUCUAAGUCGUAGUCCUCAUAAACCAUGUUAAUCAUAUCUUCCAAGUUUGUGUCGUCAUUCACUGGAAUUACUUUGCUUCCUCUUCUGCUAUCAACGUGAAACAUCCAUUUAUCAUUCUCGAAUAACCACUGGCCACAAACAACUAUAACAUCCAUCAUUGAAUUUCUUGGGAUUAACAUGAAAGAAUCUAUUGUCAAAAACAAGACAUCGUUACUUGGAGAAGAAAGAACUGACUACGGCUAAACCUAGGUUUUCAUAACUGUUCCGGUUAGUGGUCGAAUUUUUUGGUUUAAUUAGUAACCCAGAAUUGAUCUAAAUCUAAUUAGUAAACCGAUUUUCGCGAAUAAGUCUGCUAUAACAUAUAACUCCUUCAAAGUCUGCCAUAACGUAUGUUAAAGUCUGCCAUCACAUAAAAGUUACUUUUGUUAGUUUAUAAGUCUGCAGCUUAGCAUACAUAAAAUAUAAGUCUGCGAUCUCAUGAACACAAAAAUCUGCCAAAUUAUAAAAAGUAUGUGAGAAAAAUAUGUGUGCGAUUAUGAAAGUCUUCGAAAUAUUAUAAAGCUGCCAUCAAAAGACAAAAAUCUGCUAUAAAAACCUGGCAUUUAAAAACAAAUUUGCUAUUGAAAUUAAAUCUACCAUAAUGUGUGGUAGACUUUUUCAGAAAGUCUUUAACGAUAUAAAAUCUGCCACAAUAAGUUUGUUGAAAAAUAUUAAUCUGUCACGUACUAAUAAAACUGCCAUUACAUGUCACAGAGUUUUAAUAGUAGACUUAUUUAUAUAUUUCGAAAAUAUUUUUUUUCUGUAAAUUUUUUUUUUGUAAAUUUUCUUUUUUGUUAACAAAGAAAACAAGGACAUUCUGGGCAUAAAAAAUAGUCUAGUAAUUAAAAAAAAAAGUAUGUUAUUCUAGUCAUUACUCAUAAAAUGUGUGUUAUUUUAGUAAUCUUCCCUUAUAUAUAAGACAAAAGAAAUGUACUGUGAUUGAUAAUAAGAGUUGUUUGGCUAAAAAAAAUCACGCUCUCUCGCUUGGGGAAAUGCUGGGAGCUACAAACUGCUGCAAAUGUAGAGGGAAUUAAUAUGGUACACUUCAUCUGGAUGAUGAUGCUAGUUCGAUGAAACAAGAGCAAGCAUAACUUUAGCUAAAAUAUUAUGGUAUAGAUUAUUGGAUUUGCUAGUUGUUACACGAUCUUAAGAUGGUUAGAAACGUACAAAUUACAAUACACUUCCUCUUUAAUCUCUCGGGCUUCAUGCUAAUAUACGCCAGUUUGACAUUCUCUUAUUUCAUACGCACCUUCUCUAAAACUUCUUCCAAAGUCUCAUCACUCACGUUCCCUUUUCCAAACAUUAGCAGGAAAAAGAAAAACAUUUCGAGAAAGUAUAUAUUUUUUGCUACCAGAAAAGAAACCUCCUUUGUCAUAAAGUUAAUCAAUUUUUUCGCUUUAUUAUUUUGUAUACAUUUUACUAAAUCAACCAAAGUGGUUGAAAAAGCAAAACACUUUUUGAAGAAAAUAUUAAAUUUAUGUAAACAUUAUAGAAUAAUAAAAUAUACAAUCACUCAUGGUACUUAUUUUAAAGCAUUAAUAUCUGACUUAUAACAUAAGCAUUUAAAGUACUUUGUACAAUCAACUACAUUUCUGUGCAUACCAGAGAUUACGUGUGCUUACUACUCUAUUAAUUUUUGACGCAAAUUGUUGAAACAUUAUUUCAUUUUUUAUAUAUGUAGCUCAACACCAAAGAUAUCUUAAUUAACGUGAAACAAAUAAAAUAUAAAUAUUAUUCGUUUCGAGAGAACAAAGCUGCAACGGCAUCGCCAUAUACAGAAAGUUUAAGCGCAGGAUAAGAGCAUGCACACGCUUUCCCAUUUCCAAGCAAAAAAAAAAAAAAAAAGUGUUUUUUUUAUUACAUCCUGUAAAUAUCCCAUUGCCAAAAAAAAAAAAAAAAAAACUGUACAAACACACAUGCUUAUAUACAUCUAGAGAGAGAAGAAAAAUAUGGACUUUUCUUAGAGAAAUUAAAAGGAAAUUUUAUUUAUUUAUUAAAGCUUUUGUCUUUCUCUCUCAGUUCUUUCUUGUUCUUGUUUGCAUCCAGAAAACAAAAGAAUGAAACUGUUUUGCUUCAUGAUGGCACCUUUGGUUUCUCUUCUUCAUUGAAGGGUCGAGUUUUGUCUGAGAAAGGAAUAGAGAGAGAAAGAGGCAAGAGCCCCACAAAGAGAGACAUGCUUGUCUGUGUGUAGUCCCUUUUAUGUAUGUUCUUUAAUCUCUCCUACUCUCUUCUGUUCUGUUUUUGUCAUGUGUAAGAGUUUUUGUCUUUAACCAAGAAAAAAAAACCAGAUUCUUCUUUAAUUCUUUAAUUCUUCUGGUUUCUUGAUUUAUCUUGCAUCCUGUUUUUGCUCAAUAAGACUCUUUGUCUCUUCUUGUGUCUAAAAAAAUAAAAAUGAAGACUUGUGAAGAAAAAAUAAUCUUAGUCUAGCUUGAAAGCCUAGUGUUGAGUGUGGGAAAGACAAAACAGAAUGGCUUCAUUGGCUUGUGGUGAGGACAAGAUGAAAACAAAUGGUUUGGUUAAUGGAGGAACAACAACUUCUUCAACUUCUCAAUCUACUCUUCUUGAAGAGAUGAAGCUGUUAAAGGAUCAGUCAGGUUUUAAUCUUUCUUUCAGAUUUAGUCCAAUGACAGAUUGAAGUCUUGUUAACUUGUCCUGAUAUUUUUGGUUUUGGUACAAUGCUCAGGAACGAGAAAGCCGGUGAUAAACUCUAUGCUAUGGCACGCUUGUGCAGGCCCUCUUGUUUGUCUCCCUCAAGUUGGUAGCUUAGUGUAUUACUUCUCACAAGGUCAUAGCGAACAGGUAAGUAACUUUUUUUUGUGUGUCUUUAAGAACAACAUUGUAUCAGGGUUUCACAUUAUUUGUUUACAACUUUGAAUCAGGUUGCUGUUUCAACCAGAAGGUCAGCAACAACCCAAGUUCCUAAUUACCCAAAUCUCCCAUCUCAGUUGAUGUGUCAAGUCCAUAAUGUCACCCUUCAUGUAUAUGCCUUUUCAAAUCUUUCUCAUUUAUUGCAAAUAGUUUUCAUAUCAUCUUGACAAUUGGUUUUGUUUUCUUUUCAUAGGCAGACAAAGACAGUGAUGAAAUCUACGCUCAGAUGAGUCUACAACCUGUUCACUCUGUAAGUUCAAAUUCUUGCAACUUCCUCAUUGAAAAAGUGAAUUGUUUUAACAAAUGGUUUGUGCAAUCAGGAGAGAGAUGUGUUACCAGUACCAGACUUUGGACUAUUAAGAGGAAGCAAACACCCAUCUGAGUAUUUCUGCAAAACUCUUACUGCUAGUGAUACUAGUACACAUGGAGGUUUCUCCGUCCCACGUAGAGCCGCAGAGAAGCUAUUUCCACCCUUGGUGAGUCUCAAAAGCUUUUUUUCUUAUUGCUUUAAUUGCUGCUUAUGUGAACUGCUGCUAUACACUGCAGGACUACACAGCACAGCCACCAACGCAGGAGCUUGUAGUUAGAGAUCUUCAUGAGAAUACUUGGGCAUUUCGCCAUAUCUACCGAGGUAACUCCAACAGAUUUGUCUCUCUCUCUCUGUAUAGAUUUAGUUGAUAUUUGAGCUCGGUUCUUGCUUUGCAUCCUCAGGGCAACCAAAGAGACAUCUCCUGACAACAGGAUGGAGUUUGUUUGUUGGCUCAAAGAGAUUGAGAGCUGGAGAUUCCGUCUUGUUCAUAAGGGAUGAGAAGUCGCAGCUGAUGGUUGGUGUGAGGCGAGCUAACCGGCAACAAACAGCUCUUCCUUCAUCAGUACUCUCAGCGGAUAGUAUGCACAUUGGUGUUCUUGCUGCUGCGGCUCACGCUACUGCAAACCGCACUCCUUUCUUGAUUUUCUUUAAUCCAAGGUUAGCUCUAAAAACCAUCUAAAACAUCUUCUGUCAUCCCUAGACAAGAACUUAUUGGUGUUUGCUUACAGAGCGUGUCCAGCUGAGUUUGUGAUCCCUCUACCAAAGUACCGUAAAGCGAUAUGUGGUUCUCAGCUCUCGGUUGGUAUGAGGUUUGGAAUGAUGUUUGAAACUGAGGAUUCAGGGAAGCGUAGGUUAGUGUUCCACUAUAACCACAAUGUAUAUGUUUCUUACCUAUCCAAUAUAGUUUGGUUGUUCACGUUUCCAUGUAUGUUUAGGUACAUGGGAACCAUUGUUGGAAUAAGUGACUUGGAUCCACUGAGAUGGCCUGGCUCUAAGUGGCGUAACCUUCAAGUUGAAUGGGAUGAGCCUGGAUGUAACGAUAAGCCGACGAGGGUCAGUCCAUGGGAUAUAGAGACACCUGAAAGUCUCUUCAUCUUUCCCUCACUGACCUCAGGUCUCAAACGCCAGCUCCAUCCAUCUUACUUUGGUAAGUUCAAAAAGAAAAAUGUGCCUUGUUAUCAUCUUUUUUUCAUAUGAUUUGCAUAAUAAGUAGCUGUUAAUGAUAUUUGAAGCUGGUGAAAACGAUUGGGGUAGCUUAAUCAAACGGCCACUGCCCUACGCAACAUUCCCAAACAUGGCUUCAGAGCAGCUUAUGAAGAUGAUGAUGAGACCUCACAACAAUCAAAAUGCUGUAUCAUCUUUGAUGCCUGAGAUGCAGCAGAAUGUUAUGAUGGGGCAUGGAGGUUUACUAGGAGAUGUGAAGAUGCAGCAGCCAAUGGUGAUGAACCAGGUGGUGCAGGUGCAGCCAGACAACAACAAUCCUUCUGUCUCCAAUACAAGUGGCCAAGAACAGAAUCUGACACAAAGUAUUAAUGCUCCUACAAUAACUGAAAACAGCUCUGGGAGAGCCAAUCAUGGAAAUGAGGAGCUGAGUCAGAAACCAAGUGCCUUGUCUCCUUUACAAGCUGAUCCAUGUCCUGAACAGAUAUACCCACCACAACAGUCUGAUCCAAUAAAUGGAUUCUCUUUCCUGGAAACAGAAGAGCUGACAUCACAAGUCUCUUCCUUCCAGUCUUUAGCUGGAUCUUACAAGCAACCGUUAAUGCUAUCCUCUAACGAAUCUUCACCUAUUGUGCUACCUGAUUCAACAAACUCAUUUCAGGAUAUGUGGGACAAUCAGCUAAACGGUCUAAAGUUUGACCAGUUCAGUCCCUUGAUGCAGCAGGAGGACCUUUAUGGUUGUCAGAACAUGUGCAUGAGUAAUAGCACAAACAGCAACAUUCUAGAUCCUCCUCCACUCUCAAACACAGUUCUUGAUGACUUCUGUGCCAUCAAAGAAACCGAGUUCCAUUCUUUGGUCGGGAACAACAACAGCUUUGCUCAAGAUGUGCAGUCACAGAUCACAUCUGCUAGCUUUGCAGACUCACAGGCCUUCUCUCGCCAAGAUAACUCUGGAGGAACAGGUGGUACUUCUUCAAGCAAUGUUGAUUUUGAUGAUACUAGUCUUCUGCAGCAGAAUAGUAAAGGCUCAUGGCAGAAACUUGCAACGCCACGUGUCCGAACUUACACCAAGGUAACAAAGGCUUACUCUCAUUUCCUUCCACUCACUAAGCAUACAUUUUUUCUCUAAUCAUCUGACUUUAAACUUUGGUUUGGUAGGUCCAAAAAACCGGGUCAGUUGGGAGGUCAAUUGAUGUCACAAGCUUCAGGGACUAUGAAGAGCUAAAAUCUGCUAUUGAGUGCAUGUUUGGACUUGAAGGUUUGCUAACUCGCCCACAAACCUCUGGAUGGAAGCUUGUAUAUGUUGAUUAUGAGAGUGAUGUUCUGCUCGUAGGAGAUGAUCCAUGGGAGUAAGUCUCUCUCUCUCACUUUCCUAACUUCAGUUUAUUUAUUACCAUUGUUUUUACUUACAUGACUUGCAUAAACUGGUGCAGGGAGUUUGUGGGAUGUGUAAGGUGCAUAAGGAUACUGUCGCCAACAGAGGUUCAGCAGAUGAGUGAAGAAGGAAUGAAGCUUUUGAACAGCGCAUGCAUUAACGAUCUCAAGACUUAAUUUAGCAAAUAUGAACAUUUAUAGGAGAACCAUCUUAUUGUAAGCAUCUGAUGUGUUGUUCUGAUUUGAAACCUGCAACUAUUUUAAGAUUAUAGGGGAACCAUCUUAUUGUAAGCAAAUGAUGUGUUGUUCUGAUUUGAAACCUGCAACUAUUUUUAAGAUUAUGUAGCGAGUGAAGUAUGAAUCAAUAGUUGAAACAGUCUGUAAUAAGAAACUUUGUUGUCCUAAUUAGAAAUUUUCAUUUUAUUUCAAUUAUAUAACUCACAUCUGUUAAUUGUACUCAUUCAUCUGCGCAUUAAAUAAUUAUUUAAAAUAGAUGCUACUAUCAAGUGCUUUUUUUUAGAUGAACAUCCUUUAAAAAGAGAGAGAAAAUUCCCUAAUUAUAUUAUAUGAUUUGUGGAAUAGACCAAGAAAUAGUUUCAAAAAGUAAAUAAAACUUAUAUAGCAGCAAAGCCAGGCAAGAGAGAAGAAGAAAAAAUUGCUCUGCUGCUAACAACAAGCUCUCUCACACCAAGAGGAGAAGAGCAUGGUGGUGGUAUGCUAAUUCUGCUUCAGUCCCUGUCAAAUCUCAUUCUUUUUGCACUUGGCAUCUCAUUACCAUUGUUUGGAUUCCUCGGCUGGUAAGCUGCAGCAUCGUGCUGGUAUAAACAGUUGGCUCCAUUGCGACAACCCCGGGAGCUGUUGAAGUACAUGCAAGGCUUCAUUAUCUUUGGUUUUGAGUCCCUUGGCCUCUGGUUGUUAUUAUUAUUGCUAUUUACCAUCUCAGGGUUAGGUCCUCCUCCAGGUUGAGGGUUAUAACGAUAACCGAGAUGCUGUUGAACUGGCGGUGGCGCCUCUUGUCUUUCGCCGCCAUGUUGUUGAAUCAGGCUCUUGUAAUAACUAGCAUCUCUGGCUGGUGGGGCUCCAUAGUUGGGAUGAUCUGAAGGAGCUGGAGGAGGAUAGGUGAUGGAAGGAGUAUGAGUUACCGUUGGCUGAGGGUAAUAUUGUCCAUUUGAGCUGGCAGGUGUUGUGGUUACUACUCCAUUUGCUUCAGAUAGGUAGGGCCUACUGCCGUUGGAGGAGACUGAACCUGCGCCACCACUAUUUGCAACAAGAUUCUCCACCAACUUAGGGAUUGCGUUGGAGGAUACUGAACCUGCGCCACCACUAUUUGCAACAAGAUUCUCCACCAACUUAGGGUUGCUCAAGAUUUUCAUAAGCAGAUCCUGGUCGAUCAUGCCCCUGCCUAGUUCUUUGUUGUUUGAUAUUGCAGUUAGUGCAGCCAUUAUUUCUGACGCUGCGGGGAGGGUUGAAGAAACUGAUGUGUUCUCAUCGGUUCUUGAUGGCUCUGUUCCCACAUCCACGCCAGAUUGGGAUGGGAGAUCAGAUGCUGAAUCCAUUGCUAGGUCAUCAUCUUCUACAGGUAGAAUGGGGAUGACAACGGUUUGCUGGUCAUCAUAAUCUGAGUUGUCAACAUCAGCAGGAUCCGAAGGGCUGCAGAUUUGUGUUUAAGAAAAGACCNNNNNNNNNNNNNNNNNNNNNNNNNCAGGAACCGAAGGGCUGCAGAUUCGUGUUUAAGAAAAGACCAAAGUCAGAAAAAAUGUAAAAGGGAUACGUAUAUAUGUAUGUGUUAUGUAGGGGAUAGGAUCUGGACUUUGGAGGAAUAGCUGAUGCGCCAGGAUAGAAUGCUUCAAGAACUCUCAAUUCUCUUUGAUUUUGCGCCUCCACUUCUUUGCUUUCUUCCCCUGCAACCACUCUCCAUUCCUCAUCUAGCAUAAUCUGCAAGAACACAUGUUAUUCCAUGUUGAACAUACCUCACCACCAUAUACAUCAUUAUCAUGAGCAUCCUAAGAGCUGAACAUAUGAAUAUCCUCAGCUAAAUUAACGAUAAAUACAAGAGUAACCCAACUAAGAGCACUUUACCCCCAUAUUUACCACAUGCUGAUCCAAUGCUUAUCAACUCAAAGGAUCAUUGAGAUUUGGUUAGACAGUUAAUUUAAAUUUCAGAGGAAUAGAGAAAAGGAAGAUGUAAACAAGAAGUGUAAAUAUACUGUCAUUUUGGGGGAAUUGCAAUCAGUGCUUCUAAAGAAUUAAUGACUCUAGGUAAGAAAUAAGGCUUAAAGAGUGGGAUCAGCAAGCUCACCCGGAUAGAGCAUUUCCACUUUAUUACUGGGAUGUCUGAUAACUUAAUCUGUGACUCAUUUGCAGAAAGAGGUCCACCGAAACCAGGUGGCAGAUUAUCCUCGCUCGGAUGUGACUUUGCUUGGAGGUGAUCUUGAGAUUCUGAUCCAACUUGCGAAGGUGAAUCGUCAGAUACGAAGAGCCGUACCUGGUUAACAUCAAAACCAGAUUGUUAGUUGACAUGUACGCAAAAACCAUAGGGCAUCUUGAUCAAAUUAUACCAGUAAAAGUCUCAAGAAGGCCUCACUACACACAAAAAAAAAAAACAUGAAUAUUUACCACUGGACCAGUUAUCUCAAACAUACAAUCCAGAGACAAAAUCAAACAUUAACGUAUGGUAGUUUGAAAAAGCCUAAUCAACAAAAGAAACAAUCAAUGUGGUAAUGUAUAAGACAAUGACCUCAUAAUCCAGUGACAGCCUAACUAAUCAACUAAUUUUCAAAUGGUUCCUCCCUGUAGAUUCCUAACUAAUCAACAAAUUUUCCAAGCUAUGUUACCAAAGUAUUUUCCAUCAGCAAAAAAAAAAAGAAAGGUGGCAAAUGAUCAAUAAGAAUAAAUAAUGAAACUCCAAGUUGAAAUAGUAUAUUAAGUAAAAAAAAAAAGAAAGGGGGCAAAUGACAACGUCCAAGAGAAUGUAAAAAGAGGAAUGCUUCCCUGAAGAUAGCCAAAACCCACUGGAAUGACACAUUUUUAUUUCUUGGUGCGUUCGCUUGCAUAACUCAUCACAGACUAGACUGAUCUCAAGAGGAAGUGGUUAAAGGCUGAGCAUCCCAUGAUAGAAGUGGAUGUAUCUCAGGAUUAUACCCUUAUCCAAAGAAGCAAACAAUUUUAGACUAGAUGCACGUAAAAAAAGAAACACAAGAAAGCAGAGAGUUAUAUUGGAUUGGCUCCAUCGUGAUGGAUGAUAGGCAAACAUAAAAUUGAAAAACAGAGCACAUAUAUAAGGAAUCAAAGUCACUUGCUCCUCCUCAAAACACUACCUAUCAAAAUUAUACUAAGAGCUAAAGGGACAUCAAGCAAGAAAACUCAGCAUCAAAUCAGUCAAAUUUACAAGGAAAAGCAAACAAAUAUCAACCCUCUGAAGCUCUCCAUCGAUUGAAAGAUCUGCAAUGUGUUUUUUAUACCUGGCAAAGUUGAAAAUCUGGUGGCCAUGAUACCCUUUUCGAUUUGUGCAAUGCCCUCAUAGUUUUACAGUAAACUCACUUCUUUUGAAUCUAUCAAAAACUUCUUCUUUUUGAUUCGGUGAAUGGUCCAAUUACCCUUUAAAAUCCCAAUAAUUAAUCAAGCCAGCUGCAUACUCUUAAGAUUGAACCAAUCAUCAUCGUUUUCAUCGAGAAACCCUAUUUUUCUUUCAGGAAUACUUUUGAAUAUCGGGAGAGAUGGAGAAGAGAGAAUAUAUGAUAAAAGCUGUGAAAAAUCCAGAGAGGUAGAAUCAUCUGCGUGUUGAAUCCGUCGAAGGAAUGUAGACAGAGAGACGAGAAGCCCUAGAUCCGGUGGGUUCUUCUUUCUUCAUUUUAUCUCUACUUCUUCUCUUCCGCCCUUUCUUUAUACACGUGUCUCGUCAGCCGCGUACCCUCCUCCUCUCAUUAUUUUUCCAUUUCUCCAGAUACUCCACUACUUUUCUUUAUUUCCCAUAACGGUCCCUCUUUUUAUAUUUUUGAUUCUCUGUUUUUGGAUAUCAUUAAAAGUCAAUAACAGUCAGUUUCAUUGACUCAAAUUCAAGAUGAUCACUCCACCAACCAAUAGUAGUAUUAUUAUUAUUAUUACUAGGAAACAAAUCUGCGUAUUCGCGCGGAUAUAUAAAUUCUUUACUUAAAACUUAAAACUAUUUAGCAAUAUUAAUAAGAUAUAUUGUUUUAAUUAUUUAAUUAUUUAAUUUGGAUAUUUAUUAAUUCAUUUUAUCAUAUACACGAUUUGUGAGAUAUAUUAUAUAUGAUAUUAGAUGGAAAUAGAAUGCCAAAUCGGCUGAAAUUUUCUGAAGGUCAAAGUAUUUUAAAAGAUGGAACUACAAAAUAAAGAAGCAUGUUUUAAGAAAUGUAAUUGCAAUAUAUUUCUUCUUCUUAGAUCAUAAUUGGAUUUAAUUUUAUUAUAAUUGGUUACAUUUUGUUUGGUAAAUAGUAAACUAAAUUCACAAAAAAAUCUAUGAAUUCAAGUCCCAGUGACUAAUAACUUAAACAAUUUAUGAUAUCAGUAAUAUGUUUGUUUAAAAAUCUUAAUUCAUUUUAAUAGUUCUUAUUAUCCAAUCAACGAUAUUAAACUAAAAAAACAAUCUAAAAAAUAUACAGCAUAUGUAAUCAUUAAUCACAAAUACCUCCAUACAAUCAACAAACAUCAAAAAAUCAUAUAACUAUACUAAUUUGGAAGGAAACCGCAUUAUUUAUAGAAAUUGAAUUAAAAGUUGUGAGGGCAAAACCAUGUGCAGUCAGAAACCUGGAAUAUAAAACUUGAAGAUAAGAUACACUAAAAUGUUUAUAGUUUACAUAGGUUCACAUAAACACCGAAUCAUGUAAAGAAAAAAUAAGUCAAUUGAGUUUUUUGUAAGGACAUUUACAAGAGAAAGAAGAAAAUGUUGUUGACAAUUCUCCAUGACACAAAACACAAACCUAGAAAUCUAACAUACAUAGCUGCAAUCAAUAAAUUCAAAUGACCAAAUCAGCAAUGCACAUAUAACGUAGAAACACCAAAUGAAAUCAAUAUAUGCAAAGGUAUCAAAAUUGAUUCUUAUUCCAAAACAUUUGAGAAUUAAGUUUAAAAAACUGAGUGGGUGCAAAUAACAAUUUCAAGUUGUUGCAUUCUUCUUCGGAGAAGGACCAACUUCGUAAAUUUGAAACACACUAAUAUUCAACUUCACCCAAGUUUAAUAACAUACCUUUUAGUUUUAAAUCCAAAUCAACUAUGAAUUACCUUAAAUGUGCAGACAGAGGGAAACUGAUCCGAGUAUGAUAUAAUCAAAUACAACAACAGCAUAACCACUAACGAAAGGCUAAAGAGAUUUGGAUAUCUCUUUGUAUAGUUUCUCAAAAUUUCCAAGCAAGACAUCACCACCAUCACUUGUGGGUGCUUUCUAUUCAUAAUAUCGCAAAGAUACACGACUUACAUGUUGCUAUCUGGAGGAGUGGUGAGUGGGCUUUGCAAAGGUGUUACUGCCAGUCUGCCAGUACCAUCGACAUCAUGCUUGCAGAUCUCUUCUCUCUCUAGAGUUGAAUUUUCUCAUUUCAAGAAAAUAAUGGAACAUUGUGCUUCGAUAAAGUUUGUGCCUUUAUGCUGAUCUUGAUUUUGUUAACGUUGUAUCGAUCUUAUUGGAACUCUUUAGUCUCCUAGACUUUGUUAACGUUCUUACACGCUCUCACUUUGAUCGUCCAAAUCCAUAUUUGCACUUACUAUAUUCUUUUUUAGCAUGAAGAGGUGUUUGUCUCGAUGAUGGUGGAGAGGUUUUCUUUCUUCUUUACAUUUUUUAUAAAACAUGCAUGUCGUUACUAAAGAAUGGUUGAUUCACCGAUUGUUUGUGGUUAUUUUCAGAUCAAUCUUGAUUUCGGGAACUAUGAAAGAUGCCUCGAUGUAAAUAAGUAAGCAUGUAAAAUCUCCAAAGCCACAAUUACAAUCUAGAAAAAUCUCUGAAUCAACAGUCGUACGUGGAUAUACUUAGGAACAACUAAUAAACCGGAUUUAGCAAAUGUUAGAUUGGAGAUAUCGAAAAUGCAGAGAUUUUCUACAAAAUAAUGAUGAAGAUGCUAAAAGUGCGUCGUCUAGAAAUUAGAAAACAAGUGUAAAAGUGCGUCGUCUAGAAAUUAAAUGAAACAUGAUUCCAAAAUUAAAAUAAGUGUGUGAAAGAGUGAAUCAUUUAGAAAUUAAAAAAAAAAAGGUAUGUUAACAUGUGUCAGAGAAAGACAUAUUAUUUGGUAAAACAGUUUAACCAUGUUAGAUCUUAUAAAGAAAAGAAAAUAUUUUCUGUUAGAUUACAAAACUGUGAUAAGCUUAACUCAAAUUAAUUUUUUUCUAUAAAGAAUUAUGACAUGAGCGAAAAAGAAACAAAUGUUUACUAUUAUAUAUAAAAAUAUUUUUUAGAAAAAAUGAAGAAGAUAUCAAAAAGAAUUUAUAUAUAUAUAUAAAGGUAAAAUUCAGAAAUUUCUCUAAUAUAACAGUGAGGUGGUGUCCAUGCCCAGCAUCGAUUCGUCAGUCACCAAAUCCUAGACGCCGCAAGUUGCAUGAGUCUCUGGUUUCCGGGACUUCACGGCGGCGGUGUCCAUGCCCAGCAUUGAUUCGUCAGUCACCAAAUCCUAGACGCCGCAAGUUGCAUGAGUCUCUUGCUCCUGACAGGUCCUAGCAGCCACGUAUCCCUCCUCAAUCGAAGCAAUGACUGAAGAAUACGGCUAAGAAGUGAGGAGAGAGAACCACCAUCCCAGAACCAACCUCCGUCGUUGCCAAAGGCUCACUCUAGAAACCGGAGAAGACAACUUCACUCUUGAUAAGUACACUCUUCUACUUAUCAAGGAUAAACACUUCAAUGUAUCAAGGAUAAAUGGUGCGUCGUUUAGACACUUCAAUGUAUCAAGGAUAAAUGGUGCGUCGUUUAGACACUAAAAAAAAAGUAUGAAAUAGUGUCAUUUUGAAAUUUAAAAAGACAUGAAAAAGAUGGUCGUUCAGAAAUUAAGAAACAUAUGUAGGGAUGAAAAAAAAAACAUGUUCAUUGCUAAAACAUGUUCAUGACGUUAGAUUUUAUAAAAUAUCACAAUAGUGUUCGUUUAAUUACAAGAACUGUGAUAGUGUCAACUGUUAAAUAUUUUUAUUUUCUAAACCAAAUGAUGAUGAUGUCAGUGAAAAACAACAACAGGUUUACUAAUUUAUACUGAUAAGAUUAAAUUGUUAGACGUUUUAGUUUUAAGUUUUAACUCUUGAUAGCAAAAAAAAAAAAAAAUGAAAACAAAUCUUUAAUAUAAUAUUAUAAAACUUUCAUAUAUGUAAUAUCUCCUAUAAUUUAUCACAUGCUAUUUUGGUUGCAUUUAUUAUGCCGAUUUUUUAUUGCUUUUUACAAUUGUUUUAGAUAAUCCUUUAUAUAUUAAAAGAUAAGAUUGUAAUAAAUGCAUUCACACUAUAAUAGACAUGUGGCAACUUCACAAUGAUUUGAUAAUAAAUAUGCUUACGCGUUCACACUAUAUUCAGAAAUGUGUUUACACUAUAUUUUUCGUAUUUUUUUAAUAUAAAACUCACAUGCAUGGUUCCAAUAAAAUUUUGAAUUUUUCGGUUCGAAUCAAAACAAAUAACGAAUCAAAAGCUAAACUAUAUAUAUAUUAUCUCUUAUAUAUUAAAGAAAAAAUAUUGUAAUAAAUGCAUUCACACUAUAAAAGACACGUGGCAACCUCACAAUGAUUUGAUAAUAAAUAUGCUAACGCGUUCACACAAUAUUCAUAAAUGUGUUCACACUAUAUAUUUCGUACUUUUUAAUAUAAAAAUCACAUACAUGGUUCCAAUAAAACUUUGGAUUUUUUGGUUCGAAUCAAAAAAAUAACGAAUCAAAAGCUAAACUAUAUAUAUAUAUAUAUAUAUAAUUUUUAUUGUUUACGGAUAAAGUUGGGCAAAAUAUUUAUAAAUUUAAUAUUUUUUUUUUGUAAUAAAAUGUUACUAUUAAAAUUUUCAAUUAUUCUUAAAAUUUUAUUUUAUUUACGGAUCCAAUCGGAUAUUCUUUAAAAUUCUAAAUCAUUUCGGAUAUCAGAGUCACCGACUAUCCAGGUGGUUAAAGAUUGAAUCGACAUGAAUGCCUCCAAAUACCCGGAUAUUCGAUAUGUGUCCACCUCUACUUACGGUUACAAUUUACUUUUUUUUUAUAUGAAAAAAAUUCACUAAUGUCAAGGCCUUUUUAAUUUUUAAUUAAUUUUAAUUUUAUUUUUCAUGUAUUAUUUUGAACAAAAAUGUCAUUUAAUAUUAAUUAACAGUAUCUUUAUAUAUUUGUCAACUAUUUUUAUAUUUUUUUACAUACACAUACAUUUGCACCUUGAUGUGAGCACCUUGUGACUAAGUAUUUACCAACAACUAAAGUAUCUAUUUUUUUUUUAAGUUGAAAUAUUUUUUUCUUAAUGCUUCUUUUACUACUGACCAAAUUGUAGUGAAAUCAUUUGUCUUAAUAAUUUUCUUUUCUUUUCUUUUUCUUGAACUAUUAUCCGUUUACAAACUAUGAUAUGAAACCGUUAGUUCGACAUGACGACUAUCUAAAAUUCAUAACAUGAAAAUAAACAAAUAAUAGUAAUUUUUAGUUUUUACCGAAAAACCUAAAAAUUCAAACAUUCUAACCGAAUAAACCAAAAUAAAUAUUAAUUUAAAAUAAUAAUUAUAUUUUAUGAGAUUAAAAACCAAAAAAAUAACUUAAAACCGAUAUCCAGAUUAAAUAGAUUUAAUGUGUUUUUAUUAAAAAUAACGAAAUUAAUAAUCACAUUCCGCGAAUGCACGGGUUAUUACCUAGUUUAUCAAUUAUUAAUCAAAUGAGGUAAGACUGCAAUGUCGUCUGCAGUAAGGAUGCUACGGACGGAAAAGAAAGCGACUGGAGUUUCCAAAAAUGUGAUUGCAGACUAUCAGAUUCUUGUAAAAAAAAACCUCCUGCAUGGUCAAAUAUUCUUGAUGAAAUUUUGUUACAGAAUCACGAACAUUCAUGCACACAUCUUGUGUUUUACCAACGACUAUCUUUAGAUUUCGAAUCCACCGGACAUAUUUUCUGAACAUGUUCCUUCAAACUUCAGAGGAGAACCAUUGCGUCCCCUGAGGUUAAGAUCACAAAAAAAUAAUAAUAUAAAAAAAAACACAGGAUUACUUAUCAAAAAAAAACACAGGAUUUGGAGAAAAUAUAACUAUUGUUAAGAGAAUUAUAGAUGAACAAAGAAAUCUCCCAUGCCUAGAAUAUUAUUAAUCAUCCAACCUGGGCAAAUUUUGAUGAUAAAACAAACUACUUACCGAAAAAUUUGAGAGGGUACUCAUUACACCAGGACCAAAUUCUCCUACCUAUUUAAAUAUCACUCUCACCGAUUUUCUCGCAUGUGUCGAUAAUACGAAAAAAGAAAACGGAGCUUACCCGAUUCAAUCUAUUCCCAAAGGCGAGUCGAUAUACCGUAACUGUUCGGUGAGAUGGAAACGCAUCCCUCAAUGUAUCUCCUCCUUUUGUUGCUAAAACUGCAAACGAAAUGGACAUUUGAACCACUGUAUUAUGUGCAAUUGUUAGAGUAAUAAGAAACGGACAGAAAAUCUACAAACUAUUUACUCUCAUUUCACAAAGCAUAUCCACAAUAUGUGCAAUCAGUUAAUGGCAUCUCUAUCUAACGGCAUCUGUGGAUGAUAACUCCACACAAGCAGUAGAUUAAUUAAUCAGUGGGUUGGGGAGACAGAAAAAGAGAGUGGAAAUAAUCAGAAAAGAAGAGACGAAGAUAAAUCAAGAGCAUUGGAAAGUUGACAUUUGAGAUCAGCGGUUGAGAAACAAGUACUCGAUUAAGUUUAGUGGUGAUGGAAUCAGAUAAGAGAUUAUUCUAUAAUGAAAAAAAUCCACAAAGCAACAGAAAAAAUUGAAGAUAGUAUGAUAAAACUGAAUGUAAAUAAGAACAAUGAAGAUAUUAGGAUAAAGAAACGAUAUAUAAACUAAAAGAUUCUAUUUCGAAAGGUUGUGUCUUUCGGAAGUAACGAUUCAUGAAAAAGAAUCAAAGAGAUGCCAUUUGCAUUAUUAUUGAUGAUGUCAGACGUCUAAAUGAAACUAAAAUUGUGUCCAUUAGAUUGUAUAACCACAACAAUUUUAACCGUACGAUUUUACUUUUAUUUUUCUAUAAAAAAUGAUGACAUCAGCAAAAACAAAAAGUAGGUUUGCUAUUAUAUAUAGAUUAUUAUUAUUUAGUAUCUUAUUUGGUAGAUUAACUGAAUUUCAGAUCUACAUUCUCAAUACAUACGUAAAACUUACGGUUGAACCACCACGAUAUACGUUCAACCACUUUGACAUACGACAGAACUAGUAGUAGUAUUAUUCUUGUCCACAAAUUAUUUCAUUCCAUGCCUUCUUCUUUUUUUUUUUUUUUUUUUUUUUUUUUUUUCAACUUUCAAUACAAGAUUACAACCUCUAAAGAUUUUAACUCCACACACAAUACCGGGAUUUAGUAUCACCCUAGAAUACAUAGAUGGAUCCAACGUUACCCAAUCUAAUCCGGCAUUGUAUUUUCUCCUCCACGACGAGGACAAGUUCAUCCCACUACCCGGGAUAAACUGCCUCUUAAACCCCUAAUUCGACCUCGUGAUACGACGAUAAUAAUUAAACACAAAAGGAAAAGAAAUUCUCAGUCGGCACUAAUCUAAAACAAGACUGAUGGUCUCCUUAUGAUUCGAGUUCAGUUCGUGAACCACAGUAUCAACACCAGAAGGCGCAUUCCGACCUGAGCUCCUCUUCCUUCCGGCCAUCACUAUCUGUAUCCUCAGCCUAAAACCGAACACGAGUCCGGAAUGAAAAGCGACCUGGAUUACGACAUCGUGAAACAGGAACACUAAGUCCGACUUCAACAAGUGUGUAAUUUCUACACCACCUGGCCAUCAUCGGCACUGGGAUGUAGCAACUCCACCGCGUUUCGCUAGCAAAGUUUCCUCCUCUGGUUGAUAACUCCAUCGUUGAAAGACCUUGCCACACGUCGCCUCCGGAAUCCAGAGGACGAACCCCUUUUUGUUGUCCGUUCACACCGCUCCUCCAACAAUCUCACCGCCACGAGGGGAGGUAGAUCCGAGUGUUUACGCCGAGUCACGCGCCAUCUCCGUGAAGAUUUCGUCAUAGAUCUCAAAAGUGGAAAACCAAAUCUGACAUGAAUCUUCGGUCUAAAAGUCGACUCUCACCGCUCUCGAUCUUCCUUGGGUCUUGCCGCCUGUCCAUAGAACUCCGGUAUCUGCCUCCGUCUGUCACAAAGGACUCUCUGGAAGAAGAUCUUAGACAGUCAAAGAAAGGUGAGCAUUUCGACUUAGGAUAGAGAAGAGAGGGUAAUAGCAAAGGAAAAAAAAAGAUUAGGAGGAAGGAGGUGUCUCCGGCGCCAGAUGUGACGGCCGGAACUUAGUUCUGCUGGUUUUGUCGAAGUGAGAGCGAUAAGAGAGAGAAGGUUUUUUUCCCAAAUUGGUGGAGAAUUCUGAUUUCAUUCCAUGUCUAGUUAGUAGUUACGACAAGCAAAUGAAAUAAUUCUUUUUUUUCAUUAACAUCAUGCAUGUUCUUUUUUUUUUUGGCUUAACAACAACUUCUCAUUAACUAACUGUGAAUACAUGAUUACAACCUCAAGAGAUUUUAAACCCAACAUACAAUCGAUGCGAUCUAGUAACGCGUAGGAACACUGAGUCGGAUCCUACACUACCCAAUCAAUUCAUCAGUGUAUUUUUCACCACAAUGAAACGAAUUCCUCCCACCACUCGAGAGAAACCGUCUCUUGACCCCUACUUAGACCAAACGAGAUGACAAUUCUAAACACUCGAUAACAACAAAGCUAACAACCAGAUUACAAAUAGACCCAUGACAGUGGACUCCUAAAGAUUAGAGUGACAGACCCGGCCCAACAUCUCAUCACCGCAAGGCGCAAAUCUGGUGAGAACCUGUCGCCGUCGAGGUUCAAAAUCCGUUCCUUAGCCAUGAACUGGGAAAGAACCCGUACUGAAAUUCGGGCUUUGACAAGCAUACGAUGAUCGGACCAGUACCUAAGGUGAAUCCAUGGCGUGAAGUUUCACCGCCGGCGAGACGGGAGGCGUCACCAUCCGGUGUUGGGAUGUGAACCUCCACCGCGUACCCACUGCAGAGUUCGUCCUCCAGUAGACUCCUCCGGUGAAACAAACCCUCUGACGCGUCUUCCACGAGAACCGAGGACCAGAACCAUCUUCACCAGCCGUCGUAUCACACCUCUGUUUGGCUCACCGUCACACCGGACUGUAGAUCCAAGGUGGAGGAGGUCUCCCACUGAGCCACGCGCCGUCGCUGUAAGAGGAGCACAAAAGAUCUAAAACAGAAAAUCGACUCGUUAGCUCCUCUCAACCCUAAAAGCUGACCUGUCCCGCUUCAACCUUCCUGCGACUCACUGCCCAAGAACGCCGUGAGUUUCCCUUUUGACCACACAAGUUUCCAGAGACACCCCGACAAACCAGAACAACACGCAUCUCGUCUUAGGAUUUGGGUCGGAAUGGAACAGGCAAAAGGAAAAAAAAGAUUAAGGGGAAGAGAGAACCCUCUGGCACCGGACAAACGCCGGACCAGAAGUAGAUCUGAGAACUUCUUUUGUGGCGGCUGAGAGAAAGAAUCGAGAAAGAGAGAGUCCCGAUUAAAAUUGGUUCGUUUUAGGUUUUAUAGGAAUACAUCAUGCAUGCUCUUUUGGCAUGAAAUCCAUAUAAUUGCACACCACAAAGAGAAAUGUGUAGAAAAUAUAGGAAUUGUUGGAAAAGAUGAUUAAUCAUCCGUAGGAUAGAUGUCUCAAGAAUGACUAUCCUGGUCAUUUACACUUGUCAUUUAUUUAAUUCUCUUGUAUCAUUAUCAUCUGAAAGUUUUGUCUUUUUCUUUCCAAUGUUGCCGACCUUUUCCACUAUAAAUAGUGGUCCUCUCUCUUUGCAUUUGUAUGCAUGAGAAGACAAAAUAAAUAAUUAUCUCUCUCCAAGUCUCUAUCACAAUUCCCUCUCAUGUUUUGUUCCUAUUUUCUAUAUAUAUACACAAAUAAUGAGGAUGAAUUUCCAGCGUUAGAGGGAGGAAUUAAUAGAAUUCCUAAAGAGAUUACUUGGUGUACACUGUCGUUGUUACACCUUGAUCCCCCUACGAAUCAAAGAGAACUGGAAGUUCAGAAAAUUGUGCAUUUACAUAAUUUGGCAAACCAAUUACCAGAUGCGUUCUCAGAUACGAGAAGGGUGACGAAGUCAUGUAUACCCGCUGAAAAUGUUCCAUCAAGAGUUGAUGUUCCUAAAGAACAAACUGAUGGAAAUAAAAUGAAUGAACCUAGGGUUCAAUUAAAGAGGGGAAGGCCAGCAGGUUAUAAAGAUAAAAAUCCCCGAAAGAAAAAGAAAUUGGAUGAGCAAAAUAGUAAGGUUCGAGAAGAACCUGAUAUUGAAAGAUGUCUGAAAGAAGACAUAAGUGGAAAGGUUCCAGAAGAACCUGAUACUGAAAAAUGUCUGAAAGAAGGCAUAGAUAAAGAUGGUCCAGAUGACGAGAAGGGAACAGAAAACUAUGUGAUUUCCAUCAACUACGCCCGAGACGAAAAAAUAUGGAUCAGAAAUAAGAUAAAAGAUGUUGAUGGAAUGUUCUCGUUUUCUGUGUCCAAAGAGACCGAUCAUGAAAAUGAUGAUCCCGAUCCAAGGUCCAUUUUAGAAUGUAAAAAAAGACAUGAUUGGGAGGAGUGGAAGAAGGCCAUUCAAAUUGAAUUACUCUCCCUAAAUAAUAGAAAUGUCUUUGGACCUAUAGUCAUAACGCCUGAGAAUAUAAAUCUUGUUGGGUUUAAGUGGGUAUUCGUGAGAAAAGUAAAUGAGAAGAAUGAAGUAACACGAUAUAAAGCCCGAUUAGUUGCCCAAGGUUUUUCUCAGAGACCGAGAAUUGAUUUUGAGGAAACGUAUUCCCCGGUAAUGGAUGCAAUUACGUUUAGAUUUUUGAUGAGCCUAACGACAUCUAAAAAUCUUGAAAUGCAUCUUAUGGACGUUGUGACUGCGUAUUUGUAUGGAUCGUUGGAUAACGAUAUAUAUAUGAAACUCCCUGAGGGAUUGAAAAUGCCAGGGGCAUUAAAAGAAAAAUCUAGGGAGAUUUGUUCUGUCAAGUUAUAACGAUCACUUUACGGAUUAAAGCAAUCCGGACGCAUGUGGUACAAUCGCUUAAGUGAAUAUCUUUUGAGUAAAGGAUAUGUGAAUAAUGCGAUAUGUCCAUGCGUUUUUAUAAAGAAAUCGUCAUCUGGCUUUGUGAUCAUUGCUGUAUAUGUAGAUGACCUGAACAUAAUUGGAACUCAAAAGGAGGUUGAUGAUGCUCGAACUCAUAUGAAGGAGGAGUUCGAAAUGAAAGAUCUCGGUAAGACAAAGUUUUGUCUUGGGCUCCAGAUAGAGCAUCUCCGAGAAGGAAUAUUUGUGCAUCAAUCAAACUAUACGAAAAGGUUAUUGAAACGCUUUCGUAUGGACAAAGCGACUCCUUUGAGUACUCCAAUGAUUGGUAGAUCUCUCAAUAUUGAGAGUGAUCCUUUUAGGCCCUGCGAAUAUAGAGAGAAGAUAUUAGGUCCAUAAGUACCUUAUAUGAGUGCUAUCGGUGGGCUGUUAUAUCUUGCAAACUGUACCAGACCAGAUAUAGCUUUUGCUACUAAUCUAGUGGCGAGAUAUAGUUAUGCUCCUACUCGCAGGCACUGGGACGAAAUAAAGCACUUAUUCCGUUACCUUCAAGGUAUAGUUGAUUUAGGGUUAAUGUAAUUUAGAAAACCCGAGCUUGGUAUGGUUGGUUUUGCAGAUGCAGGAUACUUAUCAGAUCCUCAUAAGGCUCGAUCACAAACCGGCUAUGUUUUUACAAUUGGUGGAUCCGCGAUCUCUUGGCGGUCCCAGAAACAAACUCUGGUUGCGACUUCUUCGAAUCAUGCAGAAACUAUUGCGCUUCACGAAGUAUGUCGGGAAUGUGUGUGGCUUUGAUCAAAGAGUCACCACAUACAAAAAUCAAGCGGAAUAGUCAAUGAGAAAGAGCCGACGAAAAUAUUUGAAGAUAAUUCGGCUUGUGAUGCUCAACUCAAGGAAGGCUACAUUAAGAGCGACAAAACAAAGCACAUCCCUCCAAGAUUUUUCUCGUACGUAAGGGAGCUCGAAAAAAAUAAAGAAGUGGACAUUGAGUAUGUACGGUCAUGCGAUAAUCCAGCUGACUUGUUCACCAAAGCGCUUCCGAAUACAACAUUCUGUAAACAUGUCUACGGUAUCGGAAUGCGGCAUUUGCGUGACCUGUGAAGAAAAAGCUAUGUCCAUUAUUCUCAGGGGGAGAUUGCGGCAGUGUACUCUUUUUUCCUUGUCAUGGUUUUUGUCCCAAUGGGUUUUUCCAUGACUAGGUUUUUAACGAGACACUACGUAAUACAAGAUGAAUAAUCAAGGGGGAGUGUUGGAAAAGAUGAUUAAUCAUCCGUAGGAUAGAUGUCUCAAGAAUGACAAUCCUGGUCAUUUACACUUCUCAUUUAUUUAAUUCCCUUGUAUCAUCAUCAUCUGAAAGUUUUGUCUUUUUCUUUCCAAUGUUGCCGACCUUUUCCACUAUAAAUAGUGGUCCUCUCUCUUUGCAUUUGUAUGCAUGAGAAGACAUAAUAAAUAAUUAUCUCUCUCCAAGUCUCUAUCACAAUUAACUCUCACGUUUUGUUCCUAUUUUCUAUAUAUAUACACAAAUAAAUAUAAACUAGGAUAAGACCUGCGCCUUGUGCAGGGUGAAUUUAUUUUUAUAUAUUAUCGAUAGUUUCUUUUAUAUAUUUGAUCAUUUUAUUUAUAUAUAUAAAAUAUUUUUUGUUGUUAUUAUAUUAUAUCUUUCCGAUGGAUCAGAUCAAUUUUUAUUAAAAAUAAUGGAACAAAACUAUAAUUAAUACAUCAUGGGUUGAUCGGAUUGGACAUUAAACAAAUUAUGACAUAAAAACCUUAUUUUUUCCGUCGAGCACAUUCUUGAAAAAAGUGAACAGUAUUGUUUUCACAGUUAAAUUAUUUUGACUUUUAUAUUUCAUAUGGUUUUGAAAGCUUUCAAAUCAAUCAUCGAAUUGAUAUGUCAUUUUAAUGUUUAUAGUCGUAUACUUAAGGAACACUUACAUUUUUGUAAUUUAAAGUCGUUUUAAAAAAUUCAAAAUAUAACAUAUAAGAAAAAUUCUAACAUAUAGCAAAAAUAUAACAUAUAAGGUGUCUUCAUUUUUGUAUUUUAAAGUCGUUUUAAAAAAAAAAUAUAACAUAUAAAGUUUCUUCAUUUUUGUAAUUUAAAGUCAUUUUAAAAAAUUCAAAAUAUAACAUAUAAGAAAAAAUCUAAUUUUUUUAUUAUAUGGUUAAUGUGAUUGUUUAUUUUUUUAAUAAUAUAAAAUUAAACAAAAUGAAGAAGUAUGCAAAAAUUGUUAUCAAAUCUUUAUUAUUUAUAAUCAUUAAUUGUCAUAUAUAUGUAAAUCAUAUUAGGUAAUUUCGUAGCUUUUAUUUAGGGAAAGAAUACACACUUCUUAUAUUUUAGGUUAAUAUAAUGUUCUCUAGUGGACAUUAAACAAAUAGUAGCUUUUAUUUAAGGAAAGAAUACACACUUCUUAUAUUUUAGGUUAAUAUAAAGUUCUCUAGUGUACAUUAAACAAAUUAUGACAUAAAAACCUUAUUUUUUUCCUCCAACACAUUCUUGAAAAAGUGAACAGUAUUGUUUUCACAGUUAAAUUAUUUUGACUUUUAUCUUACAUAUGGUUUUGAAAGCUUUCAAAUCAACCAUCAAACUGAUACAUGUUAUUUUAAUGUUUUUAGUCGUAUACUUAAGAAAAACUUACAUUUUUAUAAUUUAUAGUUGUUUUAAAAAAUUCAAAAUAUAACAUAUAAGAAAAAAAUCUAACAUAUAAGAAAAAUAUAACAUAUAAGGUGUUCUCAUUUUGUAUUUUAAAGUCGUUUUAAAAAAAAAAUAUAACUAUAAGGUUU